rnacentral:lncRNA from 1 species
UCUGUUCACCUUAAGCACAGAUGCAACUGUCAAAACGCAAAUGCGGGAGAAGGAUCUAUCUUUCUCUUCUAUUUCUCUUCUUAUGUUUUGAGAGUCGCUCGAAUUCGGAAACUGUGGGAUCGAUCGAAAGGAGCAGAUGGCUAAAAUGCCAUAAUGUAGAAAAAAAAAGGGCAAAAUGCCAUAAUUGUAAUAAUUAAUUUAAUUUUGAUUUUUGUUUAAAUUCAAAACUUUGGAAAAACCUACACUCACCUUGAUAUUUCGAUUUAUUUACAGUAAAAUCAGGGUCAAACCCAUCUAGUUUCGGUUAAUCCAUUAACCCGACUCAUUCAAAAUUAUUUUAAUUAUUUAAAUUAAAUAUUUAUGAAAACCGUUUUUUCUUUUCAUUUUCUAGGUUUUCCUCUUUUCUCUUCCUUUUCUUUUCAUUUAUUUGGAACGAACCCGUCUGAAAAGAACUCGUCUGAAAACCGUCUUCUUCAUUCUCACUUCUUCAUUCACACUUCUUCGAGAAACCGAUUCGCGAAAACACAGCAAAACUGUUAAAGCAUUAGGGCUUUAUAAACUUGUAGAAUCGUUUUCUUCUGGCGAAAAUCGCGAAAAGGGUGAUUCCCGAAUCUCCGAUUUAUGGCGAAGGUGAGAAACAAAGGUCAAGUGUAUGAGUCUUCUUCUUCAGCGGCGGAAGUCCAAAACCCGCCGGAAAACGAAAAAGAGAGACCUGAAAGUGGGCCGGAAGGAAAUGCGGCUGAAAUUGAAGACCCAGAAAACGGGAACCCUAACAAUCCGGCGGAAGGGAACCCGACUCCGACGGAAAUUGAGGAACCCCGGCGGGAAGGAAGGGCUGCGGAGGAAAUCGCAGACCCACAAAUCGAGAAUCAUCCUGAAAUUGAGAACGCCGAAGUGAGCAUGGCCACACCAACGGCAAACGAUGGUGACGGGGAAUUAGCAGGAGAAGAUGUAGCAGAGGAGAAGGAAAAUGAUAAGGAAAACGAAGAGGAAGUGGAAGAGAACCAAGAGGAAAAGGAAGAGAACAAUGAGGAAGAGGAAGAGAACAAUGAGGAAGAGAACAAUGAGGAAGAGAAAGAGGAGGAAGAGGAAGAGAACAAUGAGGAAGAGAAAGAGGAAGAGAACGAAGAGGAACCCAACCAAGAGGAAGAGGCGAUAGGAGGUGAAGAGGAAGAUGGUACUGCGCCUGCGCAAGAGGAAGAGGAAGCGGAAGAGAACCAAGAAGAGAAGGAUGAAGCGCCAGCCAAUGUCAACGAAGAGGAAGGAGAAAUGCUAGAGGAGGAAGGAGGAAUGCAAGAGGUACGUUUUAGACUCCCAUCCUUCGUAAUCUUGUAGAUUAUUGUCUGUUUGGUAUGUAGACAACUAGGACAACUAUGUAGUAACAUGUAUGUUUGGGCUGCGGACAAAUAGGACAAUUUUGUGGCUUAAGAUUUUUUUGGUAUUAGGACAACUGGGACAACAUAUAGUUAUAGUGUAUAGGACAACUGGGACAACUUAGAAUUAUUGAACGUGUGUGGACAACUGGGACAAUUACUCGUUUACAGUAUUUAUUGGACAACUGGGACAACUUGUCGGACUAAUAUAUAUAGGUUACUAUGGACAAUUGGGACAACAAGUUUAACUAAUUUAUAUUACUCUUCUGAAAUUCAGGAUGCCGAUGAUGAAAUGAUGCCAAUGGGGCCUGAGAAGCUUUAUUUUGGUCCAAGCGAAUAUAGCAAGGCGUGUAAGAUAAUUACAAGAUGUGCAGUUAAGAGUGUACUUGAUGUGAUCGGGGAGCUACCUGAAGAGAUGGAGUGGUUCAAAUCGCAUCCGCAAUUCAAGCACCUGUUUCAUAUGUAUAAGGAGCCAAAUCAUAUGAAUCAAGGGUUGUGGAUGCUUCUUCUUCACACAGCUUAUACUGAGAAGCAAAAUGAGGCGUGGUUUGUGGUAAAUGGAGCGUCUAUUCGAUACUCUUUGAGGGAGCAUGCACUGCUAUGUGGUCUUGCCUGCCAUGACUACCCUGCGAAUUAUAAGAAGUUGGGUAAGCUGAACUUUGUAAAAAAGCAUUUUGGCAGGGAUGACAAAAUCAAGAUCGGAGAAGUGGAAGCAAAGCUAGCAGAAAUGAAGGAACCCUCUUUGGACAGGAAGAGGAUGGCACUACUUUUGUUUUAUGCAAAGUAUUGAAGGCGAAGUCAAAGCUUGACGGAAACAUUGACCAAUUCUUGCUCGCAGCAGCCGGAGAUCUGAAGCUGUGCAAAACGUUUUCUUGGGGGCGUUACAUGUUUGACGAGACUAUAAGGGAGAUCCAGCGUGUGGUUACCAAGUUCAAUGGCAGCGUAAAGCCUAAAGGAGAUGAAUGCACAAUCGGUGGUUUCAUUCUUCCUCUACAGGUAUGUCUUUGUUAAUAGAUUAUCUGUUUGGUAUGUGGACGACUAGGACAACUUUUUAGAUUAAUAUAUGUUAACAUGGACAAGUAGGACAACUAUUUAGUUUGUAAUUUAAUUUGGUAUGUGGACAACUCGGACAAAUGGGACAACUAUUUAGUUAGUAAUUUAAUUUCAGGUAUGUGGACAACUCGGACAAAUGGGACAACUAUUUAGUUGUAAUUUAAUUUGGUAUGUGGACAACUAGGACAACUGGGAAAAAUAUUCAGAUUGAUUUAUGUUUUGACUUUGUAGAUUCUUGCGUUUGAGUGCAUUCCAAGUCUGGGAAAGAGGUUUCGUGUAGCUGUCCAUGCUGAGCCUAACUCUCAUACCAUCUUCUCCAUCAGCUCGGUAAUAUGAACUAUCCCAUGAGUGCCUAGAAGAAGAAGAACCCGAACUAUAGCUUGGCAUCUUGUUGUCCAGCGGCGGCCGCUAAACCCUAGAUUGAGCUUUCGAUUUGGGGGAAAUUCUGUUUUUUCUUCUCUAAGAAUUUCCUUAUAAAGGAGCCUACUGAUCAAAACGCUGAGUUUCAUUCUAAUAUUUGCCGGCGCCGCAAAUAUUAAUUUAACACGUGCUUAACGCGCUCAAUACCGAAAAUAACACAUAGUUGUACCGAUACGUCCUGUUGUCCAAAAUUGGUCAUAGUUGUCCAUUUUGAUUAUUCUACUUGUCCGGUAACAUAAAUCUGUAUUAAAUAGUUGUCCAGGGGACGAUAGACUCAUGGUUACUAUUUACUAUUACAUUGCAAGAUAAUUUGAUCAAAAUCAUAUAAAUUUCGUUUUGCCCUUUGUAAGAUGCUCCAUUAUGAAAGAGUUACAUGUAUCAUAUGAGGAUGUUGAUGUGAAACCCAUACAUUGUUUCAACAAACCGAUAAUAUCAAAGAGUUACAUGUAUCAUUUGGUUUAAUUUGUUAGGUUAACAAGAAACCUUACGUAGUUGUACCAACUUGUCCAGAAAUUCAGUACAUAUAAGAAAUACAAAAAAACAUAACGUAGUUGUACCAACUUGUCCAGUUGUCCCAAAAAAUGCGAAAUCCAAAAAAACUCUAAACAUAACUUAGUUGUACCAACUUGUCCGGUUGCACCUGAGAGUUAAACUACAUCAAAAUACAAAAAAACAUAACGUAGUUGUACCAACUUGUCCAGUUGUCCCAAAAAAUGCAAAAUCCAAAAAAACUCUAAACCUAACUUAGUUGUACCAACUUGUCCAGUUGCACCUGAGAGUUAAACUACAUCAAAAUACAAAAAAACAUAACGUAGUUGUACCAACUUGUCCAGUUGUCCCAAAAAAUGCAAAAUCCAAAAAAACUCUAAACCUAACUUAGUUGUACCAACGUCCGAGAUGUAUUCCCGGUUGUGACUUGUUACAUCCUUUACGGCGAGCUUCUCCGGUAGAGGGAUAGCGCUUAUCUCGCUUUCUUCCACGUUUCUUAGUGUAAUCCGGUGGUAAAACGACUAACUUCUGGAUUUCAUCAGGGAUAAUCCAUGUAGACUGAUGUGGCACCAUAUAAAUAGUCCUGUAAUAAGCCAGGGCCCAAGUAUCAAUGUGGUAAUAUUUUGAGCACAAUUCAUGUAAGUGGAUUUCUCUUCUUCUCUCAGCCGAACGCAUCAUUGCAAUGUCAGCGGCUAUUGCAUGAACACAGGGAAUCUUGUCUAUAUCAAAACGCCUACAGCUACAAUAUUUACUUAACAAAUCGACCAGAUAACUCUUCCCAUCAUCUCCAAUCACACUGUAUUCCAGAUGAGUAGCGUUAAGCUCAGUGACAAAUAAUCUUGUACCAAUUGCACAUAGACUAUGCAACUGGUUCUCAACAUAGGGCACCAAUGUCUUCGAAUCUGAUGCAUAUGCAGUGUCUUUCCUAUGCUUGUUGAACCAUUCAGAGAUUUUUUCAACAUAUGCAUCAAUCAACGGUAAUAAGGCAUACUUCCUUGCCUUCUUGAAGACACUAUUCAUAGACUCACAUGCAUUGCUUGUGUCCAAGUUGUACUUGUCUUCUUUAAAGAAGCACCUUGCCCAUUUAUCAACCGCAACAUGCUCAUCUAAAUACUCAGCAGCUUUUGGAAACCAUAUCCUAAAAUCAGUGUACGCACAUAGGAACUCACUUUCAGUGUAUUUGUGAGCGCAUUCUCUGAAUUUUACUGCACACAAAUCUUUGCAGCCAAUCCCAGCUUUCCCUCUCACGUUUUGCGACAAAUGCCAAAUGCAAUAUCCAUGCUGAGACUGAGGGUACACCUCCUUCACUGCUCCAAUGAUGCUCUUAUGUCUGUCACUCAUAAAAACCAGUUCCUUAUCAUCAGGUAUAACAGUUUUGAGUGUUUCAAAAAACCACUUCCAACUAGCAUCUUUUCACUAUCAAUAACACCCAUUGCAAUUGGAUAAUGGUGAUGAUUAGGAUCCUGCGCUGUGGCAAAUACUAGCAGACCACCGUACACACUCUUAAGAAAGGUCGCAUCCACAACUAUGACUUUCUUCAUUGCUCUAAAGCCUUCAAUACUAGCGCCCAAAGCGACAAAGAGAUACUUAAACUUAUUUUUGGCAUCCAGUUUCACACUGGUUAUUGUCCCAGGAUUAACAAGCUGUAACAUGUAAAGAUAACAAUACAACUUUCGAUAGCUUUCUUCUGGACUGCCCCUCACUUCACUAAUAGCUAGUUUUUUCCCUCUCAAGGCUGUAGAGUAUGACACAUUCACGUGAGCUUCAUUUUGAACAACUUUAAUCAAAGCUUUGGGCGCAGGGGUGUCUACUUCUCCUGGAUAGCACCCACGCAAAACAUCUGCUACUACUUGUGGUGUGCCUUUCCUUUUAUUCCGAAUUGUGCUCGAAACAACCCGAGAGCAGGUAUGGAUAUUCCUAUACACCUUAAUACUGAAAUACGUAGAAUCCACAAUUCGUACGGCGUGUAGAUACCAUGUACAACCAAGUUCAGCUUGCCGGCAUCUUAGUGUGAGUCGCCCUGUAUCUGACUUUACCGUUUUUACCUCAAAACAGCCCUUAUGUGAAGCUCUGUCGACCAAAACGCGCAAAGCCUCCUUGGAUCGAAAUUCUUGACCUUUUUCAAACCCAGCUCCAUCCUCCCAUUCUAGAACAAACUGAGUUUGUUCCACAGGCCGUAGAGGCUUAACAUGAUCAUGUUCAUCUACAUCUUCAUGCAUGCCACACUCCGCAUUCUCCUCUGGUAACGCAAUUUCACAGCUUACCCGUAAAUCAACAUUCUCCAUCCUCUCAGUUUGUCCCUGUUGUCCCUCAAUUUCACAGCUUACCCGUAAAUCAACAUUGUCCAUCCUCUCUGGUUGUCCCUGUUGUCCCUCUGCUUCUUCCGGGUUGUAAACAAUCAACUGGUCUCUUUGUUGUCCUUGUUAUCCCUCAAUAUCAGGGGCGUCUUCUGCUCUGGGAAGCUCUUCACUCUCUAUAUCUUCCAUUAGCUCCACAUUCAAAAUGGCUCUAAGUCCCUCUUUAUCCACUGUCGUAAGAUACACAUAAACAUCACCAUCAUCAACAAUACAUGACUCUCUAAAAGGCUUAGCUACCAACGGAAUAUAGCUCAAUUUCAGAUUCCUCAUACUGUCAUUCAACCCAAUCUUCUUGCAUAUACCAUCUACAAGCACCGAAUAGGUUAACUCCUCCAUAGAUAAGUUUCUAAAUGAUAUAGCAUAUAUGGAAUUUUUAGAAUUCCAUUUAAACUCUUCUCCUUUCGGUGAAUAAUAUCCUCCAUACUCAAAAUAUAUGUUUGUGGGCCUACUCAUUCUCUCCUGCAAAUACAAAAAAAACAAAUUAAAAAUAUUGCCAAUUGUCAGCUUUCUCUCAAUUUGUACCUGUACCAGUUGUACCAGUUGUCCCACUUUCUAAAGUUCUACCAAUUGUACCAGUUGUCCCAGUUUCUAAAGUUGUCCCAUUUGUACCACUUGUCCAAUCUAUCUAAGUUGUACCAGUUGUACCAAUUAUCCCGACACUCUUAGUUAUACCACUUGUCCCAAUUCUCGCAAAUCUGACGGAUUCAUCAUUCACAACUUAGAAGACUACGAUUUAGCUCGAUUCACCAACAACCAUCCACUAAUCGACCCAUAUAGUUGUCUUAAAUAUCCAAUGUGCAUGCUAAAACUAACAAAUUUCACAAAUCGACCCACAAAAUUAUAAAACCCCAAAAUCAUACCUGAUGCUUCGCAAGGAGCUCACUCGAGUUCAGAAAACGAAGUCGUGCUGUACAGGAGGACGACGCGGUGGCUAAUACGUCCCGACGAGCUGGGUCACGAGUCCAGCGCAAGAUUCAGCUCGGAUCGGACAAAUCCAAUUUCUCAGAAAUGUCCAAUUCGAAGAGAGAGAGAGAGGAAGAGAGAGGAAGAGAGAGGAAGAGAGAGAGAGUUUUGUUUUUCUUUUUUUUUUAAUUAAACCAAUAAACCAAAAACAAAAAUUCAGCAAUGCCACAAUUACUUUUCAUUAAGGACAUAAUAGGGUUUUCACUUCAUUUAUGGCACUGAGACUCUGUUAUGGCACUGAAGAUUUUUUCCCUUCGUUUUAUGGCAUAUUGGCCAUUCUUUCGAUCGAAAAAGAAGAGAGAGCUCCGAUCUACUGCGUCGGCGGCACAAUUUUUAUGCUGUGCUCUAGAGGCUAUGAUCUUGCGAGAGACUGCCACGUCAUAUCACUGAAAUUUAGCAGUAACUGGUUGGAGAAAUGAUGUCACAAAUUAAAAAGUUGAAUUUAACUUUUAAAUACUGUAAAUAGAUAGAUAAGAUGUACAUCCUUUGGAUUAAAUACAAUCAUGAUAAACAUAGAUUUUUUUUUUUUUAUUAUGUGUAUCCUUUAUAAAACCAUAACUUUUGUAUGGCUUAAGGCUUUGUAAUAUUAUACAUUUCAAACAAAAACACACUAUAAGUGUCUGGUCAAAAAUCACUCUUAACAAUACAAACUGCAAUUCUUUGACUCAGAAUGAAACAAACAAAAGAACAAAGCCUUAGCAACAGAUUUGAAGGCAGAGAGAUAGAAAGUUUUAAUAUAUGAGAAGUGUGUGUGUGUGCGUGUGUUUGGUUUUUCAAAACUGAGGAUUGCGUCUCAUUGAACCUCUAUGCAUUUCUUCACUACUUGAAGCAGAAGGAUUCAAGCCAUACUCACUUGUUGCACCAUAUUCACUGCUUUGAUACUCUUUACUCUCUAAUGCCAAUUUCCUGAAUUUUUUCAUGUCUGCACUGUACGAGCUCGCGUCAUACUCCGAGCUCACGCUCCCUGGGCUCAAAUACGUGUUUUGUCCUGGUUUCCCUCCUUCACUUAGAUCGUCCAUUGAUACAUCUGCUUCUAGUGCUCGUACAAUCUUUCAUUAUACAUACAUGUUCCAAGAUUGAUACGUAUGUCACAAUUAUCAUCAAGACUGUGAUUGAUGGAUAACAAAAGAGUUAAGAAUGUGAAUAUUUGAAACCUGGCUCAUCUUAGGUCGUCUUCUUGCGGAGUGUCUGAUGGCUGCAGCUGCACAAGAAGCCAUUCGAGCCAUCUCUUGUUGAUUGUAGUUCGUCUCUAGACGUGGAUCUGCUAAUUGGCUGUAAUCUCCAUCUUGAGCUGCUUUCAAACACAGAGGCCUUGCCUGCAAAUACAAAUGGUAACAUUAGGAUUUUUGUUUUCUUUUUUGGGCAAGUGUCUGGGGAUAAAUAAACCAAAGAAAACGGGCCAGCUUACCCAAUCAACCAAACUAUCUUCCAUUUCUCCAGUUAGAUCCACAGGAGGCCGUCCGGUUAUGAGCUCAAGAAGCAUUACUCCAAAAGAGAAAACAUCAGAUUUGUCGGAUAGCUUGCCACUUGACGCAUACUCUGGAGCUAAAUAUCUGAUUCAAAGCAGAUGUUGUUAAGACGUAUGAAACAGCUAGUGUGAAUAAAUCCCCUAUAAGGAAAUGAUAUUAAGAUAGUUUAAAAAGCUGUUUACCCGAAAGUUCCCAUGACACGAGUGGAGACAUGAGUAUAGUUGUCUUGAGAUAGCUUAGCUAAUCCAAAAUCUGCCACCUGCAUAUAUAUAUAUGCACAACAGACUCAUCUACGCAGAUUCUAGAGAGUAUAUGAGAGAAAUCAAAGUAAUAAUAGUAUAAGGGUCAAUAUAUAUACCUUGGUUUCAAAACUGAAAUCAAGAAGAAUGUUUGCUGCUUUGAUAUCUCUAUGGAUAAUGCGAGGAUGACCUAUAUCAUUGAUGUAAUAAAACAUACAAUCUUUCAUUUCUUACAGAGAGCGAGAUAGAAACUAUAUCGGGGAUGAGAGAAAGAUUAAAUUACAAUCUUCGUGCAAAUAUGCAAGGCCUCUAGCUGAUCCCAAUGCAAUCUUCACUCGUGUAGGCCAUUCCAAAACAGGACGACCCUUUCCUGAAAAUUUUCAAAUCAUGCUAUUGAUAACAGAGAAACCAUACUUAAAAGUGUUAACUCAAACUUAUAUUAUAUAUGUUAGAACAAUGUACCGUGAAGAUGGAAUUCAAGAGUGUUAUUAGGUAGAAACUCGUAAACCAAAAGCCUUUGACCACCAGAGAUGCAAUAUCCAACAAGAGAAACGAGAUGGCGAUGAUGGACACGACUAAUAAUCUCAACCUCUGCUUGAAACUCGCGUUCUCCUUGUCCACUCCCAAGUUUAAGACUCUUCACUGCAACUUCUUUGCCACUAGGCAAAACCCCUUUAUGAACAUACCCAAAUCCUCCUUGUCCUAGCAAAUUUGACUGAGAAAAACCUUCUGUUGCAAUGGACAGUUCGUCGUAAGUAAAAGUGCUUUGGUUAUGACCAAGAGUCACAGCUGGAGGCGACGGUGUAGCAGCGGUCCGACCGGUUAAGUUUGAACUGUCGCUAUGAGGACCGGACACAGGUUGCUGUGGUCCCCAAUUCCCACCACCUUGAGAAGCCAUAUUCACUACAUGAUCUUGACGUGUUCCAUUGUUGUAAUAACCACCAUUUCCUACACUAUGCAAACAACUAAGUUAGCUUCUAAAGCCUAAUACUUUACCAAGUUUGAUUUACACUAGCAUUUGAUUACCAUUGGGAGCUCCAAAGGGACUGUUAUUGUAGUAGUGCAUGUGGUUGACUUGAGGGGAUCUUUUCUUCUUCUUCUUGUUGCAACAGAUGCAAAUAAGCACAAGAAGAAGAAGCAAUAGCCCUGCUCCGACAAGGACUCCAAUAAUCAAACCAAUGUUGGCUUGUUCCCCUGGUUGUAAUAAUGCGUCUGAAUCUCCACUAUUCCGAGGAGGGCUAAUUGACCGAGGCGGUGAAGGUGAGCCACCGUCGCUGGAAUUUCUGUUCCCGGACGGUGGAGACGGUGUGAAGACGUUGCUACCAUUGGUUCUGUUACGGUCGUCAAUGGCACCAGGAGGAGGAGAAGGAGGAGAUGGUGUUUGUGAAGGAGGUGCUUGGUUCGACGGUGUUUGAGGCGGUGCCGGUGGCGUAACCGGAGAAGGAAUCUCUGGAGUUUGCGGUGGCGGAUUACCUACAGCCGGCGGAGAUGGUGGUGAUGAAGACGACGGAGGAGGAGGUGAGGUUUCCUGGCUCGGCGGCGGUGGAGAAGCCGAGAUAUUGUUGUUUGGCGGAGGAGCAGAAUUCGGGGACGGUGGAGACGGAGCGACUGGUGACGGCGGAGAUGACCCAUUUGACGGCGGAGAUGUCUCAUUUGACGGCGAACCUGCAUUGGGGGUUUCCGGGGAAGGAGGUGAAUUCUCCGGCGAGUCCGCCAUUGAUGAUGAAUAUUUCUCGGUGAAAGGUUUCUCAACGGUGGAGAAACCUUCGCCCCGGUGAUCCUCGACGCAACAGCCUUGUUUUCCAAGCAACACGAAUUAGCUUAUGCGAAUUGAAACCCAGAAAUUAAUACAUGGUUUGUGAACAAAGGUAGAGAGAGAGAGAAAUUGAGAGAUCGUCUACAAUGGUUUUCUCUUUGUGUUUGGAGAAAUAGCUUCUCCUACAAUGGAGGAUAAAAGUUUCACUAUAAUUAGCAGAAAAAUCGUCUCUCUUUUCUCUACCAUCUAUUUUUACUCUCUCUCUCCCUCUCUCUGUGCUACUUUUGCAUGUGUGCCGUUUGAAGUUUGAACAACCAAACCGGUUUAUAAACAUAAUACCCGAACCAUGUAUAGAGCAAAACCAACUCUCUCAUUGGCGCGGGAGUUAGCAAAUGACAAAAGGAAGUGAAUGUUUAGCUCAAUAACUGCAUUAGUAGUCAACAAUGUCAAAUCAAAAGAAAGUGAAUGUUUAGCUCUUAAAAUCGACUUUCCAAGGUCCUCACUUCACUCAGUACUGAUAAUUGCUCACAGAUCUUUUUCCCUGAUGAUAUGAACUUUAACUGCAUAAACCAAACCUUGCCUGCGAAAGAGUUCACACAGUAUGCCAUCUUCUUUCUUCAAACUGUUCCUUUUGCAUAUGCGCUGCCAUUUUUUGAUAUACACACGUUGAUCUUUCCACAUUGUUGUUUUCGCUUCUAGCUUCCCGUUUUUGUGAUUGUCUAUGUAGUAAAUAUUUUUUUCAAACUUCAAGGAAUAGUCUUUCACUAACUGUGCAUGGAUCAACUGUAUUCCAAGAUAGAAAAAGAAUACAAUUACAUUGACUAAACAUGUUUACGUUAAAAAAGCAAUAUACAAAGAAAAUUUAUUGCAAUCCUUACCAGCUCGUAUAUCCUCUUCUUCACGCCUGUCUCAAAAUAUAUAUUCCUUGGAUUAUCCAAAUAUGCCUCUGGAUUUUUGAUCUUGGGCUUUACUGUUAAAAUUCCAAAAUCGAAUGUUAGCUCAAUAAAACUCAAAUGAGCUAGAGCUAAGUGAUGAAAUUACGCUUAACUCUUGAAUUACCUCUCUCCCUUUGUAGUUUUACAGAAUCAUCCACAUCUUCAGUUAAUUUAGACUUUCCUGGAAAACCAGUGUCUGUUUCUGUUUCCGUGUCUGUAUAAAUACUGUCUUCUUCGUCGUCAUCAGACUCCUCCACAACUCCAACUUUCGACUUUCCUGGAAAGAUCACAAGAGAAAGAAAAAGAACGUGUGUAUAUUAAGCAGUUUACAUACAACGGUCUCAGGGAUGAAAAUAAGGACCCAACAAUGUGUGGUAAACCUUUGUUCUUGCUUCUCGGGAUUGUAGUGACCACCUCGGAUUCAGAAAUAGCAUCUGUGUCGUUGCUGCUAUCUUCCUCGUCGUCGUCAGCUUCAGUGACUGCUCUAACCUCUUUACAUCCAUCAGGGCCAUAGAUGCUGACCUCGAAAAUGCGGUCUCCAUUAUAGACGAAGGUCAGAAAGUCUCCGUCGCUGAGAGAAUUGUCCUCAACGAAUUUGACCCAUCCUUGUUCAAAAUACACCUCAUCUUGCUUCCUCUUCAUCGCCACGUUCCAUGAGCAUCCACCAGUUCCUUGGAGAAUCGCCGUUUUGGGCAAACGAGGUGGAAGUUCAUCAUAGUAGGAAAUGGGGAUCAGCUGCUCAACACAUAAGAAGAGGUAAGCAAAGACAUAAAGUAGGAGACUUCGAAAUCCAAUUUAGAAGGAAACCUCUCUCUAUAACAGAGGCUUAUCCACACACAGAAGGUUUGGUUUUUACAUUAGAGGAUUUACUAGUCAAAACAUUUGCAUCUAUUUAUGAGUAGAUACACUAAUGAAGGCGAAAAUCUGAGUGAAACAAUCAUGUUCAAACAUCUCUAGUGCAAACGUCCAUAAAUGAAAAAAUGACAUCUUUACUAAAACAAAACUAACAAUUUCACAAGUUUACCACUCAGAGGAAAGCAAAAGGAUGAAAAUGAGCAAACCCACAAACAAACAAACAAAAUGAGAAAAGAGAUGUCCAUACAAAAGCAAGUCAAAACAAACUCAAGACAUUUGUAUCUAUUUGUGGACAGGAAAAACUAAUCAAGGAACAGAUCUGAGUUUCAAACAUCUGUCUAGUGCCAAAGUCCAUAAAUGAAACUGAUUCAUAUGUAAAAAUAACAUCUUUACUUAACAAAACUAAAAAAUGUCACAACUUCAUCACUCAAAACAGAAGAAUGCAAAAGGGAAGAAACAGAGGAAAACCCUAGGAAGGGAUAAGAAACAGAAAAUAAUUAUCUACACAGAAGCUUCCACUGAAGAUGAAGCCGAAGAAACAAACCCAAAUGAUAGUAGUUGCAGUUCAAGAGUGGUUAAAGAGACCAAGACAAUACAAAGGCAAAGGGAGAGAAUUUAUGUUACCAUGGAAUUGGAGCUGAAAUGGGAGAUGAAAACCUUAAAGAAACGCGGAGGAGUAUCAGUGUCAGCCAUUGCGAGAGGAUUUCGAAACUGUGAGAGAGAGACGACAGAUUCUUCACGUAUGAAGUUAAAAGGAAAAUGGGAACAGCUAGAGAGAAGAGAGAGGGCGUUAAGUAGACCAAUGAUAGUAGGAGAACAAUUCCUAAUUCGUAAACAUACUUGGGGCAAAAGUAAAACGUUUUGAGAUUUGAAGGAUGGAAAGGUAAAUUAUAUUAGUUAUUUUUUUUCUUUCAAUCUAGCCCUCUUUUUUUUUUCCCUCUCUCCAUUUCCCGCGCUCUUCUCUUCUCUCUCUUUCCCCGUUCUCCAUUUAUUUUCUCACACCUCUAGAUGUUUCAUAAACGAAUUCAGGCCCGGCCCAAUAAGUUAACAAUAGUUACAAGUUUAUGUUGAAAAUCAAAGAUCUACUAAUAUACAGUUUGUAAGAGAAAUUAAAUAGUUGCGUUCUUGGAAUGUUGAAAAAGGUAACUGACGAUAUACGAUCAUGAAGCUUCAUAUUUUUUCUUCCUACUAUGUGUUUUGGGCAAGUUACUAUUAUAUUUUUAGUCAAUUUCAAGUACUGAAGAUAUCAUAUGUAAUCUCAACCUGAAAUUCAUAAACUAUCUAUAUGAAAAGUUUUGUGUAUUUGUGUAUAACCAUAAUCCAUAAAAACAUUCCCACCUUUUGCGGAUUCCAUAUAUAUCUCUGUUCAACGUUACAGAAAGUUCAAAGAAGCAUAAAUAAAACACAUUCACAGAUCUCCAAAUGUUCCAUUCGACUGUUACAUUAAACAUUAAUUGAUGGGUCUAAAACCCCUAACUAACUUCGUCUCCUACAUAAGUCCGAUAAAUCUCCAGAAAAUAAACCAAGCUCGAAGGUUGUACCUGGGCUUUUAGAAAUAGAACAUCAACAGCUACCUCGCGAAUCUGAACACUAUGAUGUGGAACCACUAAACCGAAGAAACAUUGUCUGAACCUGGAGGUGGAUCUGAGCUUCCGGUCAUUGCUGUAGCAGCUACAAGUGAACCUGGAGGCCUUGGCAUUGGUGGGCGUGGAAAGGCCAUACCCAUGGGAGGUCUUUGAGCCACAUUAGCAAAAUUUGCAGCGAUUCUGUUUGUUGGUAACGAAGCUUUUGAGGACAUUGAAGGUGGGACACCAAGCCGAGCUGCUAUUAUCUGUGCCCUUUCAUGGUAUAGCCGUUGCCUUGACCUUUCUAAUUGCUCUUUUACCCUCGCUGUCAAGCUUUCAGCGUCGUUGAAGAUUGAUAGCUUUGCUUCUAGUUUAUGUAACUGCUUAGAACCCAAAAAAAAAAAAUCAUUAUUAUGUUACAACAACUCUCAACAAUACGGCACCAAAAAGGAAUCUAAUCAGCAUACAAUAAAAAACGACAUCUCACCUGCUUCUCUAUCAAUGAUCCAGAAAGUUGUCGGAUUUGAUCUUCUUCUUGCUUCGCAAGAGCCUUUGCUUUUACUGCUGCAGCUGAGAGAGCAGAGAUAGCUGCACGCUUAAGCUUAUCUAUGUUAUGUUUUUCUUUUGUCCCUUCACUAACAUCCUUCUCUUUGUUUCCUUCUUUAUUUGUAAUUUCACCUGCGAAACAAUGUUUAAACAACAAUCCAUUAAGAUAUAAAUGAAUAAUGCAAUGGGUCCAGUUUCUAAUGUGCCAGAGGGAGAAAAAGACGGACAACCAGUUGUUCCAUUUUCCGGUACAGAAGCUGAUACAAUUGGCUGCUGUGCAAUAGACAACUCUGGCUUACUAAGAACAUCCUUUGCACCCUCCUUAGCCUGUUCAACCUCCUCUCCUACUGUUUUGACCAUAUCUUGAGGAUCCUUUUCUGACUGUGAUGUAUCCUUCAUCUCCACAUCUUUUGAUGCUUCUGGCUGAGAAGCAUCUCCAGCUGACUGAUCGACAGUUGCUUGAGAAGCGUCUUUAUUUUCACUAGAAAGCUUAUUUUCAUCCUUCAAAGGUUCUUGAAGCUCCUUCCCAGAGCAUUUUUCCUGCGAUGGACAAAUUAUAUCCGCUGGUUUCUCAGAAUUGCCAGUUGCGACUGACUUACUAGAUCCAUUUUCUCGUUCAGCAUCUGGAUUUCUAGCCGAAUUUUCAGUUCGAGAACCAGGUUGCUUUUCUUCUGAGACUGAAUCCUGAUUCUUUUUGCCUGGAUCAAUAUCUAGCAUUUCCCUAUCAUCUAAAUUCAAGGAGACAUCUUCUGCUUUUUGGCUUUUUUCUUCUGGCUGCUCAUCUUUAUGUGUAUUAUCAUCGUUCGCUGCUGCAUCCACACUGCAAAUGUCUUGCUAGUUUCAGAUUUACGAAACAAUAACCAAUAUCUUUAAAAUUUUAUCGGAUAUUCAAAUAAAUGUCAAACCUUUUUGAUUCAGUUGAAUCCUUCUUGUUAUCUGGUGGAUCUUCCAGAAUAAAACAAUGUCUUGUAGCGAGCAACAGUCCAGAAGAUUUUAUGGAAGCCCGGGCUGAAGCAGUAGCAACGUCAGAUCCCGCCAAUCUUACCAGAAAGGCUGCCUAUAGAAGAAAAAAAAAAGGAGCCUUACAGGAUCAGAAAGAAAGGGAAGAGGGUGCAUUUAUGAAUUAAAAAGAAUCUCCUCUCAAUCCUCGUUGCAUCAAAAUUUCUGUCUUACAUCACAACUUACCAGUCCCAUGACAGGAUUUCCUAAAUCAGCAAAGGAAACAGAGGCUUCAGGUGUAAUGGGAUAACCAACGUCUUCAAAAGCUUCAGUCAGAGCUUUCAGAGCAAUGUUUUCAUCAGCCUCAUCUUUACAUCUUUCAUCACUGACGGUUUCUUGCUUGGGCGUUUUCUGGUCAGCUUCCACUUCAUCAGUGUCUUGGCUCGCAUCUCCAGGCUUUGAAGAUCCCUGAGAAACUUUUCCUUCAUUGUCAUUUUCUGGUUCUGGAACUUCCUUCAUAGUUUCAACUUCAUCAACACGAUUCUUAUUUUCUGUCUCUUCGGGUGCAUCUUUUGGGACAGAUUUAUCAUCUUUAGACACAGCUAAAUCUGUAGUGUCUUUUGUACUUGGAUCUUUGUAGUCAGUUUGAUCAAGAAAUGCAUCCUCGAUUGGCAUUUGAAGAAAAUGAAGCAUACACUGAGCCUUUGUUUUCGUAGCAACAUGCUCUGCAAUCUCGUUCCAAUUUUCCUUGAAGAUUUCUAAAGCUUCAAGGAGAAGAAGAGUCUCUUGGUCAGUCCACUUCCCACUACCAACGCCAGGGGCCUCAGCAGGCUCCAUCAGUAUAAAAUCAGAAGAUGACAUAUCUGAGCUGAACUUGCCACUGUUAAAGCAUUCCGUACACAAGUCAAAAUCUGCCUGCCAAAAUCUCAAUAUCAGCACAUAAAUUUUUAAAAUACUGUAAUCAAGAAAAUAGCACAAAGAAUGAAUGUUGCUACAAACAGUAAGAUGAAAGCACAGGGUCAUAGUUAAACUCUGUAUUCUUUUCUAUCUCAGAUAUUUAAGCCACAGGGAAAAGGAUCGAAAGAGAACUAAAGUAAAGUGACAGAACACCUGCUUGGGGCAGUGGUAGCGCUUGCGAGAGCAAUCAGCUGAACAGGAGUUGCAGUGAUAUUCGACUGCUGGACCCUCUUGCUUCAGUAAGUCAUCAGCAGCCAUUGGAUCUGUAAACAACCCUGAUGGCGUAGCUUGUGCUGUGAGACGAGGCUUGUGAACAAGAGCAGGGCAAGCCUCAUCUGCUUGAAAUCGGUAUAGACUGUUAAGCAGUGACUCUUUAUCCCCUAAAUCAUCAUGAUCACCAGCGGUAGAACUAGCAUCUGCUAAUGAGGAUGGGAAUGGGUGAAAAUUAAUUAAGCCCCAGUAGUCCAAGAACUCCAUCACCUCUUGUUUUGCUUCCGUGUCUCCAACCUCGAGUUCUGCUAAGUCUUUUAAUUCUAUCUGUGUGUUCGGAUCAGAAUGAAACUUCCUCAUGAUCCAAUUCCGUAUUUCCCUAUAUACCUCAGAAGUGCGACCAUCCAAUUUGCCAUUAAAGAAAGAGGGCAAUGAACGCUCCUCCAGCGGAUGAAUUCUUUCCCAUGAAUACCAACCUUCAAAAAGUUUCAGUACAGGAACCCAAAUUACAAACUAUUUCUUUUUAUAUCAAAAAUUGUAUGGAUGACAAGUUGUGAAGAUUGAACCACAAAACAGCAUAAAACCUAAACAAAUAUCUCAUAUUACAUCCUAGCUCAUAUUUAACACAAGAUCAGGAGUCAGGACUAAGAGCAUCAAUUCAUCGCCUGGUGUUCUUCAAAUGAGAUUCUACAUGAUGAGCAUGCUCAUUCUACUUUGACAAGCAAUAGAAAAUGAAAACUGUUUUAGACCAUAGGAUCAAUCUGAUAAUCUCAUGCCAAUGCAUCAACUACACACACACACACAAUAUUUCACAUCUUGAUUUUUCUUCUACCAGGGACCAAAUGAGUACUGAGCAUAACAUCUUUCAAAAUCUACAACAAAGUAUCCAUAGCAGGAGGUGCAUAUCUUCUUCAAUUUAAGCCUAGAUAUUCACAUUGAGCAGAUUUCCAAAACCAAAUCCAACUCCAAAACCUAACAAGUUAGUAGUGUUAAACUCUCCUCCUUUCCAGUAGUGAUAAAACCUCGACUACCUCAGAUUCUUUAUUUUGCCUACUUUGAAAUUACUCAAAAAAAAAACUAAUAUUCGGAAAGCGAAACAAGGACAACUAAUGUAAAAGAAAUCGAGAAUUUGGCAUAGUCUGAACAAUCACAGGAAGUAGUAGAACAAACCGCAAUGAUUAGGCACCACAUGAACAUUGCUGUCGCGAGAUCUAAUUGCUUCGAAAUCAGCUUCGAUCUUAGCCUCCAAAGCCUCCCACUCACGGAUCGCCUUGUUUCGUUCUUCCUCCUCCUUCGGCUUCUCGCCAUCCGUACCCACCGCGACAUUCAACGGCUCCGACUUCACCCCAGCCGCCGACGGCAUGUUGCUCGGUGCCUGUCGAGCUCUAGUAAGAGGCCCGUUGUGUACCGGAGAAAAAGACGCAAGCAUCGCCUUCUCGCGCGUCAACAUCCUCUUGUACGAUGUGGAAGAGGAAUUGGAGGUCCCGAGAGCAUUCGCUUUUCUCUUCAAAGCUCCGGCGCGCCGCCGCGUUGCCGGCUCAGAUGCCGGAGAAUCUCCAGAGCUACCAGCCGAAGCUAGGGUUCCAGCAUCGCGUCGUUUCUCCUCCAUCUCAAGAGACGGACCAAUCUUCGGGGUUUCCGUCUCAGUGUCUUCGCUUUGCUAUGCAGCUACAACAACAAAACCAUUUUCAGGCUUAAGCAAAACGUUGCUAUUCCCAAUCCCACCCAAUUUUGCUUCUUCCCCUUCACUUCACCGUUUUUUUGCAUUUAACUUUCUUUCUUUUUUUCUUUUCAUCUUUGGGUGUGGAGUCAACAUUUUGUAUGUUAAGGGGAAAAACCGAAACAUGUUGAAAUUAGCACCCCUUACAAUAUAAAUUUGAACGGUUUCGUUCGGUUUAAAUCAAUCACUCUCGAAUUAAGCCUUCCGGUUCGACGAGAAAUUGAAACGCUCUCUUCAAGAAACCAACAAUCUUUGGCAAAUGGAAAAUUCACUUGAAUCUUCUUGAGUAAUUCAUAUCAUUGCAUAAUCUUAUAGCAGCAAAACUCACAAAUGCCUCCAUUAAUGGAAAAACAUAUAUUGAAAUGCGCGACCAAAAUUUUUCCUACAAGGUUGUUCUGAUAUAUGUACAAAACUUAAAAAUCUUGGCGUAACAAGUUUUCGAAAUUGGUUCCUUUUAAUGUGGUUUGGACCUCUUCCCAAUUCUGUACAUGUUGUGACAAUGAACCUCGAUGAAUCUUCACUUGCCGACUCUUUAACUCACGUUUUGGGACCUUUAGAAACUCUUGUACAUCGUCUAGCCUCUGCAUUCAAAAAAAAAAAAAAAAUCAUCUUGAACACAUGAGAAAAGAACAAUCAAUAACUUGAUCUAAUUUUUUUUAAAGAAAAGAUGUAAUAACCACCGUGCGGUUCUCAACAAGAUCUUCAUAGUAGAGAAGGAUAUGGCGAGUGGUAUUAAAGUAAGCCAAUGCUUUCAAGGUCAUUUCUUGAAUCUGAUUCAGCUCUGCUAUCAAAAGUGUUGUGUUGAUCAUUGGCUUGUAACCCGCCAAUAUCUCAGCCUCUUUAGGCGAAUGGACGUGAGACUUGUGAGUCCCGUUUAAUAGCUUAGCAUCUCUGUCAUAAGAGUUUGAGAGUACUGAUAUCAUGCGCCGCAAUAGGUUUCUUCUGAAGAGGAAAAUUGCAGAGACGCCUCGGGUUUUGAAGUAAUCUACUAUUUCUUCAUGAUGUUUCAUUAGACCCUGCAAUGUUUUACAGUGCAAAAUCCAAAAUCAACAAAACCACACAGAAGCUCCCUAAAUCAAAAGAGGUCCCUUUCACAAAUUUGCCUCAUAAGUGAAGAGCACUGAGUGAGAAAGAUGUCACUCAAAACCACAACCUUAUAUCUCUUUAAGACCGUUCCCUUUCAACAUAUUUAUCAACUUUGCAACUACAGUACAGUUCCUUAAAGCAAACUUAUCUCUUUUUCAAACUUAACACAAACAUUGUCUUAUCAAGAAAACAGACCGUUCCUUAUUACUUUCAACUAACAGGUAGUUCAUUUAUACGCAAAUGUGACCAGAAGACAAGGCAGGGAAUCUAGCGAGCUCGUUGUCCAAGCACCCAGAUGCAAACAGAACAAAGUCGAAUAUAGAUAGAUAUAAUAUGAAUCAUAGAGUACGAAAGACAAAAAAAAUAUGUCACAUUGUCCGGAGAAAUAUUUGUGACUUUGGAACACUUUACCUGAUUAAGCAUCCACUUGAAGCCAACAGCGGAAGUGCACUCAUUCUUAGAGGCACUACUCAACCAGUCUAGAUUAUAGACUUUGUCAAGUGUCUCAAAAAUGGUCGAAACAUUAGCCCUCCUAUCUUUCACAGAAAAGAUCUCUCCGUUGGAGCUUAUGUUAGUAUGAUUGUUAAGUAAAGUCUCAAACCAGCCACUACCAGAUCUCUGCAUCGAGAUAAUCGCAAAGUACCUAACCGGUUGGCAAGAACAUUCAUCCCUAAAUCAUUCAAAACCCAUAAAGCACUAAUCAAUAAAAAGCGUAGACCCAAGAAUCAUAAAGGCUCAAACUUUUUCUCUAUCUUUCUUUAGUUACCUGUUAUAUGUCUUUGGUUUAGGGUAAUGCACAAAUGGAAUGUCCCAUGGUUCAAUGUUAGGCUCAGGGCAAGGCCUCUCAAAGACUUCAACGUUCAAGAAACCAUAGUUGGGACUGACUCCGAUUUGCUCAAGACAAAUCGAGCAAAUGUACACAGCGCAGACCAUUACAAAGAAGAGAACGACCAUUCUUAAUACAAGUGACGACUUUUUAGGAAGCUUCAAGACAAAACUAUCCUGAAACAAAACAUAAAAAUGAGCACAUUUAUGUCCUCGUGUUAAUUAAGCUUUGUUUUGUUGUUUGAGUCAAAUGGAAAUAAAACCUCAGAAACUUUCUUUUUUAAUGCGCCAGACCCAGAUGCCAAAGAAUCAAUUUUUUUUUUUUCAAAGAAUCAAUUUUUAUACAUUAGAGUAAAGGAAUAUGAAAAAAAUCCUAAAGAAAAUCAGGAGCUGGGCUUGAAACUACUGGACGGAUCAGCAAAAGAUUGCUCCGAGAAGAGGAAACUCUAAUCCGAUGCGACCACUCACAAGCAGAUUAAAACUGAACAAAGCGUAAAAUCUAAAAGCCACACACAAGACACAACGAAAUGUACCUUGGGGAGGAAAGAAGGAUCGUCGGCCAUGGCUGUCUCAAUAGAGAGAGAGAGAGAUAUGAGAGAUCAGAAAGGAACAGAACACAAAGACAUUGAAUUCUCCAGACAAUCUGAUAGAGGAAAAAAAAUUAUAUUUUAUUCCCAAGAAUUGAAAACGAAAAACUUUUAAAGAAUUUCAGUUUGAGAAAAAGUGCAAUGAUUAGAGAAGCCCACGACCGUUGUUUUUCUCCUUUACUGUUCACUUGAAACUGGGUUGUUUCAAAUUCACGAACAUCGAAUUAUCAAACAUUAAAAUGCGGCAUUGGAAAUUAAAUUCUCGUUUACAGAUUUGAGGAUAAAAGAAAAUAUGGAAAUCUCAGGAAACGGGGGAAAAAAAGAAAGCGUAAACCCCGAGAAGAACAAGUCAAGCUUAAAAACGAUGUCGUUUGCUGACAUGCACCAGCGCUUUAACCAAUCAGCAAUCACCACUAUUGCUUCCUUUUAAGAUUUAAAUUUUGUUAAAAAAAACGCCAAUCAAUUGUUUUUUAUUUUUAUAAUACGAGUUUAAUUCGUGUAACAGAUUCCCACGGUUUGACUUGUGCAUUUGUUUUCAAUUUAUUUGAUUCUUGUGUUUACUACUUUUACGUAGUCUUUCUAUUUCGAAGAUUAUAAUAGCUUCAAUCUAAAUGUUUUCCACGGUCUAUAUAUUCUAAAUUUCUAAUAUAUCAAUCCCGUGAGAAACCGAACAUCAACAUCAAGAAUCGGAUAUAUUUUCUCAUGUGAUGUAAUCCCGUGAGAAAGCGAACAUCAAGCGAGCAUCAAUCCAUAUCAAUGUCAGUGAUACUAAAACUUUGACUGCAGUGUUAAAUAUGGAUAAUGGAUGUUGUACAAAAAAUAAUGACAUUUGAUUUCAAAUAAAAUUGACAACACAAAAAAAAAAACACUUAGUUAAUGUGUUGGUAGUGCUCGGAGCUGUUGUAGGUUUCAAAAUUGUUUGUAAGAUUGAGUAAAUAGUAGAAGCUUAUAGGUAUUUUUUUCUCUCAAUUCUAGUUUAAAGAUUAAUAAGAAGAAGCGAAGUUCGAAAAAAAAUCCGACAUUUUUAUAGCCAUUAAUGUUUCCUGAAGCUUUGAAAAGUGGAGACACAAAAAAUGAAAUUCUUCAACCCCAAACAAUAUUUACAUCGGCGAGGGACAGUGAGGAAGUGAAAAAAAAUAAACAACAAAAGACAACACAAUACAGAACAAAUUAGCAAUACAUAAGGCCCCUCCUAAGAAGAGAAGAAACCCAAAAACAUAACACCAAAAAAUAUCAAAAGAAGAUUGUUACGUAGUUGUAGAAUUCCUUCUAGUGGUGAUAAAAAGAACUUGUCUUGCGAUCUUUCUUGGAUUUCACAAAUCCUAACCCUAAUCUCUCUCUCCACCAACCACUCGACCCUUUUGAUUUGCUUCUCGGCGAAUCAUCGUCUCCUUCGCUGAGUUCCUCCCUUAAAGUUGACAUUCUCUUCGUCGUGUUGGUUUCUUCCUUGAGAGGUAAAAUCAUGCCAUCGAAGAAGAUUUCAUCUGCUGUGAUCAUGGAGAAGUUCUUGACACCGAACUCAAAAUCAUCAUCUGACGACACAGAUGCCUCCUUGUACUUGAUCAUCUCGUUCUUAGUCGCUGCGAAACCGCUGGAGAAUGAGAUCCUUGGCUCUGCGUAUCCACCGUACUGAUGAUGUUGCUUCAUGUUCGAACACUCCAUUUUUAUCUUCUGUCUCUCAGUCUCUCUCUCUCUCUUGUGUAUUCUAUUGUAUUUGUAUUUUGUUGUAGUCUCUAAGGGUAAAAUGUAUGUAUUUAUAUGAUACAAUGUUGGAUUCAUAUACUUCUUAUUUUAUAUAAAUAUAUUGGGGAUAGAUAAUACCAUAUUUUUGUGCAUGAUGUCACAAACACACAAAGGGACAAAAGUGUUGUCUCUUGGAGUUUAGAGAUCUAAGACUAGAUUCUUAAUUGAUUUAUGUUAUCUUCAAUAAUGACUUAUAACCCAUUUUAGGGAUCAACAGCGGGGAAAAGUUAAAAGCUAAUAGUCUCUUGAUUCACUAGAAGGGCCAGACCAUCAUUAUCGGUAGAAACCCUUUUGGGUCUUUAAGGUAUUUUUUAAUUAUUGUCUGAGUAAAAAGGUGAAUAAGAAAUUUUGUUUAAAGACUCAUGUAUUUGGUGUAUGCAUUGGAGAAACCAAGGUGUCGAAGAAAAAAAAAGAAAAUGGGAGAAAUGAAAAAAAAAAUAAAACAAACCCAUUCUCUCUUCCCAAUUUUUCUAACCAAUCUCAGGGUUCCACGUACAAUUAAAAGACGUAUACAAACGUCCUCAAUUAAUAGACGUUUUUACUCAUUCUCUCUCCUAGCUCAUUUUUAAAAUAUUAAGUUUUUACUAAAGACGCUUUUAAAGACGCCGAUAAUGAUGCUCUUAUCAUCACAAUAACAAUAUAUUACUUCUAUUCAUCGUUAGAAGAUAAAACCCUAAAUGAACGCAAAUGGAUGUUUUAAGCACAUGUAAGUCUCAAUUUUAUGCACAUGCACUCUCAGAAGAAAGUAUCAUGCAAUUUCUGAGAAAUUUCGCAAACUUAGUUUGUUUUAUGCUUCUUAUAGAAAAUGGGGAUAAAUUUAGUAAUACUUUGCUGGCUAUCCAAACUCUCCAAAGGUUACACAAAAACCAUUUGUUUAAAGCAUAUAAUUAUUUAAACCCUAGAGAUUAUCUUAUAUAAUGAUAGCUGUUUAUUGGCUAAUUGUACACUGUAAUUACAAAUCUGAGUUCCCACGCAACUGGGUUUCCGACACGCCGUUAACAGUAAUUAUAUUAAUUACACACACACACACACACGUUGAUCUUCAGUGCUGAUCACUCCAACAACCAAGAAACACAUUUUGCAACCAAACAAAAAAAACAGUAUUACAAUUUACCGUACGUUUGUUGAAGUAUUUAUCUAGUCUAUUUUUUGUUAUAUCGACUAUUAAGUUUUGUUUUCGUUUGAGGUGUGGCACUUUAUUGGUAGAUUCUUUUGCCAAAUUUAGAAAUCUCAUGUAUGAAAUAUAUAAGAGGAAACCUAAAAUGACAUAUAAGUCACAGGACAAUUCAAAAAACAAGGAUUAUAUAUGUAACGAACCUAGUUAAUUAAUUUGGUAUCCAUUAAAGAAAAUAUUAUCUAUAAUAUCUUAUUUAAUUUUAUCUUUCUGUGACGUCUGGUUGUGUAUAGAUUCAAUAAUGUGUAUUUAUGAGAGCGUGUCUCUCCGAUGGUCUCCCAUAUAGUGAACAAAAGUUGUCUCUUGCAGUUCACGAAAUCUGAGAAAGUUUUGUCUUCUUGCGCUGAUUUAUGUAUCAAACGCAUUAUUAUAAAGUAACAAAAAAAGAGGCUCGACGUACAAGGUUGGAUCUUGGAUUUCACCUAUAAAUUUUCAAUAAUAAAAACAAGGUUCGGUGAACUUCGUGCUUCUUUCCACUUCCACUUCGUACACUAAACACAACAUCAUUAGUCAAUGUCGGUGUUUUCUUCUCACGAGGCAAGUGAUAAUUCCAGUUAGGGAUGGCUGGAUGGGCAAAACUAUCCAGAAUAUGGCCAGCUCAAUUUUGGGGGUUAAAAAUAGUUUUAUAGAGAAUUUGGACGGUAUACGUUACUCUAUUUUGUUUACGGGGUUACUUGAAAUCUAAUUAAGGAUUCUAUAUGACAGGAUAUUUGGCGAAAAUGGAUAAUAACGUAAUUCAAAACUCUAUGUUUUCAAAGGUGUUGUAUACUAAUUCGAUGAAAUCUCUAUUGUUGGUUUUUAACGUUCGGACCGUAUAUGCUCAAUGGUCGUUUUGAAUUUUUGAUAAGGAUGUUACUAAGGGAUUGAGUUGACUUAAUUUGUAUUCAUAUAUUUGAUACUGAAGAGGAAUAUAUACUGAUACCAUAAAAAAAUUAUAAAAUUUGUAUGAUUUAUAUUAAAGACUUGUGCAUAGCAUAUGAAAAUUUAGAUUUUUAUAUAUCGACAUGUCAUUUGUAGAAGAGUAUGUUACUCUGAUACCAUAUAAAAUUAUAGAAAGAUUUCUACAUAGGAUUUAGAGUUCCAAUAUAUAAUGUUGGAUUGAUCCAUUCUAUAUCUUGCAAGUCUUGAUUGAUAUAAUACUCUAGGGAUAACAUGCAGAUUACAAGAACACAGAGAAGGAAAUAAAUGAUGCAAAUGUUUUCUAUUAAUUAAUACUAGAUAUCACAUCACGAAUUAAGCGCCUGUAGCUCAGUGGAUAGAGCGUCUGUUUUCUAAGUAGAAAGCCGAAGGUUCGACCCCUUCCUGGCGCGUCUAUUAUGACGGGUUAUUUUUUUCUUUUUUCAUAAAUUUUUUGAAGAGAAAGAACAUCAUGUUCUAGAAGGGGGCGAGAGUUAAGUAUUUGAAUAGUCUUUGACUCGCCGGAUCUGUCUCUCGAGUCCCGGCGGUGUAAAACCCUAUUUCUUCCCUACUUUACGCCGCCGACUUAUGCUAUGAAGGCUUUCCAUCUCGACCGUGGAAACACUCUCUCUGUAUCUCUUUUCUCCGAUGUCACCAACUCCAAGUACUCUCUCUCUCUCUCGAAUUUUGGGUUUUUCUUACCCUCGAUAGAUUAGGAUAAAUGUGUAAUCUUUCGGAUUCUCUCGCUUUCUCUGUUGCCUAAGCAAUGCGUGAUUUUGGUUAUCAGAAAGAAAAUUUGCGUUUUCGAUUGUGUGUUUGUGUUGUCGGACAGACCUUCACCGGCAAUUAGUAAGAGACUUGUGGAUUUAGGGAAACUCUGUUUGAUAGUUUUGCAGCUAAAAGCUCAUCACUUUCCUUGUUUUGAUUCAGUUUCGCGAUUACCUUUUCUCGGUUUUGAGUUGUGUGGAAGAGAUGCGAAACAAACAUUUGGGGCAUUAUUUUUGUGUGUGUGUUCAGGGAGCUCUUGAAUUCGAUGCUAUAUGGAAGUUUGAAGCUGGAGGUAUCGUUUCUCAAUGCAUCACUUGUAAGUUUUUGUUGUUUCCUCCAUUUUUUUCAUUCUCAUUCUAAAAAAAGACUUUGAUAUAUUGAUCUUAACCGAAUUGUAUCAUCAGAUACCAGACAUUUUUCCUCUCUUAGCUGCUGCUCAGAAAGCACUUGUCUCCAAGUCUCGUGAUUCGUUAUCAACCAGAACUCUUCAUUCUGAGCUCGUGUACAAUUACUCGGGGUCUAAGCAUGUAAGAACCAACUUUGCUUGUGAGUUGUAAUUGUAAUAAGAAUAGCUUAUUUUUUCUGAAUUUGUCUAAAAUGUUGGUGUUCAUUUCUUCCUCUAACUAGAUUACAGAAUCAUUGAAACGAUGUGGGAUUUCCGAAAACUCUACUUACAUUCUAGCUGCCCGGUUCAAUGCUUCUCCUGUUGAGGUCAUAAUCUCUUCAACCAUCUAAGAUCUUACUUUCCAUGUUGCUGUGUUGCUUUUGCAUUAUAAAUGAAUAUAAAGAUCAAUCAUGACAUGUUUAAAGAUUAAAACCAGAUGGAGGAGGUCGCGAAAUUGAUCAACGGGAAGGAAACUGAUAUGGAGGAGUUGAAGACGCAAGCAAAUGAAGCUCAUAUACUAAAGGUAAUGUUAUUGUGGUACACAGUUAAAAUCCGUUGUAGUUAGCAUCCUUUUGUUAUAGAAAUAAUCUCCUACACUGUCAUUGAAUCUUUCAGCAUUACAAGAUAACUAGCCAAGAACUCGGGAUUUCCUCUCUCGGAGAUGCGAUUGUUUGUCGGAUCGCUGCACGCGAUGCUUUGUAAAACAAGAGAUCUGUAUUUCGUUCUUUCUUUCUUGUUAGUGAUUUUUUUCCUUUACAAACAAAUUGGACACUUCGUAUGUAAUUCUUUGCAUCUUUCAGAACAAAGUUGGUUUUCUUAUUUUCUUAACCUCUUCUAUUUCCUCUCCUCGUGUAAUUUUAACUCAGAUAUUUUAUGGGAUAAACAUAAAAAUGACCAAAAACACAGAAUUGAGACUACUAAUUACAUGUCCUUUGCCCAAUAUAGAAGUGAAAAGACUCAAAAAGCCACAUCAAACCAGGAAUCUUGCUCAUUUUGAGCAAGCCCAAAACCAGUGUCACUCUCUUCUUGCACUCAACUAUAAAAACACGCCAACAAGAAAGAGCUCAACUUUAUGAAUCAAACAAAUUCCCUGAAAGAGUAAGUAACUAAACCUAGAAAGAACUAGAGGCAAUUUGUUCUGAGAAGAAUCAAAUAUGAUCACUGGAACAUAUCAGCAAUGGUGUUUCCAGAAUCUGAAGAAUUUCCAUUCCCAAAAUCCAUCAUCAUCAUCAUAUUCAAAUAUUCAUCCAUAUCACAGUCUCCUCCUCCUCCACGCCAUUGCUCUGCUUCGACAGAAUCCGUGCCACUCACGCUCGCACUUGCACUCUUUCCUAUAUCAUCAGCCGCAACAGAUGAAGAAGUGUAAUCCACAAACGGGAAGUUGAGUUUAGCCCGUGGCCCACGGAAUCCAAUAGCGGCCCGAUCAUAGGCUCGAGCCGCAUCCUCAGCUGUUUCGAAAGUCCCGAGCCAGACACGUGUCGCUCUCUUGGGAUCUCUGAUCUCAGCUGCAAAUUUUCCCCAAGGUCUCUGCCUCACUCCUCUGUAGCCAUUCUUCUUGUUCUUCCUCUUCCUGAUUUUCCCGCCUUCCGCUUUCUUCGUCGUGGCCAAGGAGCUCUCUUUUCUACUACUGUCACUAGUAAUCCUUUCUUCUACCUCUACUUGCUGUUUAUUUUCAAUUCUCUGAUUUGGCGCGAAAAAGUAGUUGCAGCCGAGACAUCCUUCGAUCAUACACACUUGGCAAGUGUCGGAAUCCGACCGAGGCAUUCCCGCGCUAAUCACGGUGCUGUCGCGGGAGAAACUCUGAAACGGCGCCGUUUCUUUUUCCCCUGAGAUGACGUGUUGCAAGGCGGAGACUAUAACUGAGAGUUCUUGCUCCGGUGAUAACUGCUCUUGCUGAUACGGGUACUGGGUCCGGGUCGAAUCGCGCUCUGAGACCGGAGCUCCGACGAAUUCGGGUCUGUUGUUUGGGUAAUGCAUUCUCGAUUACAAUUUACAAUUUGAUUUUGGAUUUUGGUCGACUCUGUGAUUGUUGAAAGCACCUGGAGAUGAUUGAAAAUAUUUGUUUUGUUUUUCUGCUGUGUUUGGGGAAACUGAAAGUGGAAAGAAGCUCUUAUAUAUAUGGUUCCGUGUUUUUUUUUUUUUUUUCAAAUGUCUAUGUGGCUUGUCAACUGCCAACUGGCACACACACUUCAGACACGGGGGUCUUUUGGAAACACGUGCGUUUAUUUUCUCGAAUAUCUUCAUAUAAAAACAUGACAUUUUUUUAUAUUUGAGUUGGGUUUAUAUGACAUGACAUUUCUUCUUUAAGCAUAAAGUAUUAAUCAAUUAUCAUCAUUUGUGACGCUUUUCUUCAAGAACCGCUUUUGUGUUUUAGUUAUUUAAUUAUUAUUUUAGCGCUUUAUGUUCGUUUUCACACAGUUUACAAUUUAAUUUAAACAUGUUUAAUGGGAUAAGCAUAUCUAGGUACGGAAUUGAUUGGCUUAGAAUAAAAUCACGUGCCAUUUUUUAACUUAUUAUUUUUGCCUGUUAUUGGAGCAAUUCGCCUUCACAUUUAUCAUUAGCUAUUGAGAUCAAUUUGUCUUUCUCGAUGACUAGAUCCAUCGUCUCAAAACUCAAAAGCAUUUCUCUCUCUUUUGUCAUUUUUAUACUCUUUUAGUACGUCGAAUCAAUCCUACAACGUUUUCGAAACUUAUGCACAUAGACAUGUGUAACAUUACAAUAACAUUGUGAUUCACACAAACAAUGGUAUAUUUGACGCUCUGGAUAUUUAUUUUUUUAAAAACAAACAUAUUCAUUUUAUUAGCACAUCGCAGUGCUAUUAAAAAAAAUCUCUUUGUAAUGGACUACAUUUGAUAAUCAAUCUGAUUUUCUAAAACUUUAUGUUUCAAUCUAAUUAUUCAUAAAUUUCAAAUAUGGCUAAUUAAAAAUUUUACAUUGAAAAUGAGAUGAAAUCUAAAUUACUAAUAAGGAUAAAAGCCAAUAAACUAAUUAUCAAUUAAUUUUGAAUAGAAGUUCAUCAAACUUAAAAUAUCUUUUAAUAAUCAUGUAUUGCUUAAAUUUGGUAGAUUGAUUAUUUUAGACUAGGACUCGAUUCGAUUACAGAUCGUACGUGAUCACAUAUUGAAAGUGAAACAUAAUCAACUAUUUAUUGUAAAUUGAUUUUGAGUUGUAAUAUCAUAAAACUUAACAUUAUGAUUGUUGACAUAUACAUCAAAACUUUGAAUUGUCUUUAAGUUCUACACCUUAUCACCACCCUUUGGCAAAUGCAUCCACUGUCUCUUACUUCAAAGCAUAGUCUUUAGCAAAAAAACUUCAAUUCAAUUGACUAUGGUCACUAGUCAGCUUUACAUACGAAUUUUCAAAAGUUUUUUUUUUAAUACAUAGAAAAUAUGAUUGCGAACACAGGUAUGUUAGUAAGUUUACAGGUCGACUUACUAAUUAGCAUACUUUUAUUCAGUGAAAGAACAAUGAAUAGUAAGAAGAAAGAAUCCAUUAGAAUAUAUACAUUAAAUCGAACUUGUAAAAAGAGAAAUUCAACUAAUAUGAGACAAAAUGACUUCGUUGCCUCGUUGGAUAUUUUUUUUCUUCUAAUAAUAAAAAUAAAAGGAAGAUGAAAAUAAACGAAGGAAGGAGAAAAUGAGUUACGACACAUAAAAAAAAAAAGAGAGGAGAAAGUUAAGUGAGUUAAUUUGUCAAAGGUACUUAUGAAUGAAAAAAGCGAAGGUUUGAUGUUUCUCACUGAUCUCAGAUAUUUCAAUGACUUUUUAUUCUUUUUAUUUUCAGGUCAAUAUUUCAAUGAUUUAUAGAACUUGUUGAAGUGUAUGUCAUGACGCUGAGCUGGCAUGUGGAUAUCACUAAGCCCUCACGUCACUCUAUCAUUUGAUUGUGUUGACUGUUUCUCGACGCUGACCCACCACGUCUUUGCUUUCUAGAGUCUCUUGACUACUCUCUUCACGCUGACCUUUGAUUAUUAUUAAUUGACUGUACUGGGGAAACAUAGUACAUUUUUCAAAAGGAUUAUGGAGAUAAUUUAGUCUAUUUAUUGAUAUACUUUUAUAUAUCUAUGAUAUGUACAAUUUAUGGAGGCAUAACCAGUUUUAGUUAUUUAUGAUAUGUAUUUAUGGAGACAUAACUUUUUUGUUUUGCUGAAUAUGUAUUGGAAAAUACUCCAAAACAUACAAUACUAGCAUGUUGACCUUUCUUGAUAUAGUAUUCGUUCCAAAACAUUUAGGGAUAUAAGGAAAAAAUGAAGAAAAUAAUCUUAAUUUGUAUCCUACAAACUAAUCAAUAUUUAAAAUAUUUGUACUAAAAAGUAAUAAUGUUACAAAAAAAAAUCGAAGAAUAAUUUUUUUUUUAAUUUUUUAAGGGGUCUGAGGCGAGCUGAUACUUCCUCUAUUAACAAAUACUAGUGCAAUUUUAUUUAAUUUUUACACAGAUUAAAAGUUAUUAAAAAUUUUACUUUUCUUUUUAUUACUAAAAUAAAUAACUUUUUCCUUUCUGAUUAAUAAAAUAAAAUAAUAAUUUUAAAACAGGAUUUUAUGCUUAAAUUCAAAAAUAAGAAACGAAAUUAAACUCUUAAAAUGUCAUUUUUGUGAAUCAAAAGAAGUAUAAACAUUAGCAAUUAUAUCUACAAAUUAUUCAAAAAUUUGGGAAUAUGAAUAUAUUUUUACAGUGUAUAAAACUUUUUUGUAAAUGCGAGUGUGUGAGUAAAUACGACAGGCUAGUUAUUACAUUCAUCUUUAUUUAACUUUUUUGGGUCAUCACCAAAUUGAAUCUAUCAUCUGUAAACAAAAUAGGAACGAUAAGUAAAAGCAUUUCCAAAUAGCCACCACAGGCAGAGGCACGUUGAGCACGUGCAAAAAUGAUUUAGAACACGUUUAUUGCGCUGACCAACGUUUUACUUCAUUAUCUCGCUGCCUCGUUACUUUUUCACUUUAUCUUCUCUUAAUUUGUUUUUUUCCUUCCACUAACCAGUUAGAGAUUCUAUGGAUUAGUACUAAUCAGCAAUUUACCUCGAUAUUUAAUUGAUAACGAUUACCAACUCUUCAUCCUUUUAAUCUUUUUUUUAAGUUUCUUUUUCAUUGCUUUUCAAAUAAUUCAUCAGCUCUAGUUUAUUCAUUAUAUAAAUAUCUCAGCAGUUAGAACCGUCCAAUUCAGAUAAAGGAAACCAAUAAUACUAUAUGUGGAUCCUGUUACUUAUUCCUGUACAUGUAACUGGGGUAAUCAAAAUCACCAACCUAAAUCGUUUUGUAAGAGGACAACUCGGAUACGGACAUACAUGUACAAUGAGAAUUUAAUAGUCGAUAAAAAAAAUAAAAAAUUGAAUAUAACAAAUAUCUUAACAUCUGAGAAUUUUAUCAAAUACAUGGAGAGAAAAUUGGAUAUGAUUUUUUUUUCUUUUAUAACAAAUAGAAAACCCACAAAAACAAGGAGUUUGAAGAUAAAAAAAAGUUUAUCAACGAAAAAUGAGAAAUCAGAAUAUGUAAAUUACACUAUAUAGCUCAAGGAUUAGAAUUUUCAAUUCAAAAUUACACUAUUUUCCUAAGAAAAAAAAAAGUGACACUUAAAAAAAGCAGAGAAUGAUGUCAAUUGAUUACAAGUUAUUAAAUUCCUCUUCCUUUCACCGAGUAUGGUUACACUUGGAACCUCUCAUCUUCUCCAUAUUUAAAUUUCUUAAAAUCUUAUCACUCAACCAGCUGACAUUGGCUUUGUGUGAUUAAUUUCGUUAUGACGAGAGAGUGUUCAACGAGAUUUAAUUCAGGCUGGAAGGAUAAUUAUUUUCCAAAGAAAGAAUAUAGAGACUGUUGACUUAUCAAACCCAAAGCAGCAAGAGCGUAACAGAUUAGGCAUCCUGUGUUGCCUCUGAUUUUCCAAUUGUGCUUUUAAAAUUUUUCUUUAAAAGCUUUCAGUUUUAGAAUUGGAGCUGGAACCAAGCUUGCAGAAAUAGUAAUUCUCUUAUGGCGAGACUUUGAUCCAUCAAUUGUAUCAUUGAGAUGAGAUAACAUUGCUCAACAGUUAUUUCAAGUGUUUUAGCUUGCAGAGAGGUCAUGCAAACUACAUUAGUCUCACAUAACAGAGGUUUGAAAUAGAAUAUGUCACAGCCACUGCUUAUCAUAUAGCUUUUGCAGUUCAUGAUCAAACUCCAAAGCAAAAACGUUGGAGGCGCAUUUUUCAAGAAGACAAAAUGUAAGCAUUCUUAAAGCAGGUCAUACGUGAUACAUUAAGAAUUCUGCUAAGAAUCUCACUUACUUGGCCGAAUUUUAACAUACAGACCAGUAAUUAUUAUAUGGUUUAUGCAUUUGAGUUCCUACUAUUGAAACCGAAACACAUACAAUAGAAUGAUAUUUUACAUCCUCUAUUCAAUUUUAUAACUAGAUGUAUUUUACAUCCAAAGAGAAAAAGUUUAUAGACAUUCCCUAAGAGAUAAGAACACCAAAGCUUUUAGAAAAUAGAAAUUUUCAUAGAUGCUUCUUACGGCCUCUUUACUAAUUAGAACAACAUCCAAUAUAAUGGAAAACAGAGUCUAUAAUUAGUUCACAUUCGCUACUAGAAAAUGGACAUAUUCUAAAUAUACACAAACGUUUACGGAAAAUUUAACUGCACUACAAAGUCUAAACCAUCAGGUCCUCACCUAUUACCAAUAAUGCUCACAGAUCUUUUGCCUUGAUGAUAUGAACUUUAAUUGCGUAAACCAAUUCUCGCUUGCGAAAGAGUUCACACAAGAUGCCAUCUUCUUUCUUCACUUGGUUCCUCUCGCAAAUGUGCUGCCAUCCUUUAAUACACACACGUUCAUCAUUCCACACUGCUGUUUCCGCUAGUAGCUUCCCCGCAUUGUGAUUGUCGAUGAAAUAAAUGUUUUUUUCAAACUUUAAGGAAUAGUCUUUCACGAGUUGUGCAUGGACCAACUGAAUUGAAGGUACAAAAAAAGAAACCAAAUACAUUAAUUAAACAACUUCAAGUUAAAGACAAUAUAUAUGAAGAAAAUCUAUCGCAAAUCUUACCAACUCGAAUCUCCUCUUCUUCACGCCUGUCUCAAAAUAUACAUUCCUUGGAUUAUCCAAAUAUGCCUCUGGAUUUUUGAUCUUCGGCUUUACUGUAAAAGUCCAAAAGUCGGAUGUUAGCUAAAUACAAAUUAAAUGAGCUAGGGUUAAGUAAGUGAUGAAAUUAAGCUUAACUCUAGAAUUACCUCUCUCCCUCCUCUUUUUUGGCGGUUUCACAGAAUCAGAUGUUACAUCCACAUCUUCUGUUAAUUUAGACUUUCCUGGAAAACCUCAAGACACAAGAUAAUCUUACAUUUAUCUCACAUAAAGAUAAGCAUCCCACAAAUGAUCAAAGUAGAGAAAGCUAAAUUUAAUUUACCUUUCUUUUUCAGAUUUUUCACCUUUGGUUCGACGUAAGUGGCUGUGUCUUCGCUAUCCGGAGCAUAAGAACUGUCACUGUUGAAAUUCUCUUCAAAAUCCAAGCCACCAAAAGCUUCAUUAUAAUCACUGUCGCUGUCUUCAUCAGCACCCUCCACAACUUCCUCUUUCAUCUUUCCUGGCAAAAACUCAACAAACAAAACAGGUUGAUCUGUCAGAAAGACCCCAAAUAAUGAUGAAAAAGAGCUAACAAUGCGUUAAAACCUUUGUUGAUGCUUCUCGGGAUUGUUUUGGCCAUCUUGAAUUUAGAACCAGUUUCUGUUUCCGUGUCUGCAUAAAUACUGUCUUCUUCGUCGUCAUCAGACUCCUCCUCCACAACUUCAACUUUCGACUUUCCUGGAAAAAUCACAAGAGUAAAAAAAACAACUAGCGUGUAUAUUAAGCAAAAAUACAUACAAUGGUCUAAGGGAUGAAAAUAAACCCAACAAUGUGUGGUAAACCUUUGUUCUUGGUUCUCGGGAUUGUAUUGGCCACCUCGGAUUCAGAAAUAGCAUCUGUGUCGUUGCUGCUAUCUUCCUCGUCGUCGUCAGCUUCAGUGACUGCUCUAACCUCUUUACAUCCAUCAGGGCCAUAGAUGCUGACCUCGAAAAUGCGGUCUCCAUUAUAGACGAAGGUCAGAAAGUCUCCGUCGCUGAGAGAAUUGUCCUUAACGAAUUUGACCCAUCCUUGUUCAAAAUACACCUCAUCUUGCUUCCUCUUCAUCGCCACGUUCCAUGAGCAACCACCAGUUCCUCGGAGAAUCGCCGUUUUGGGCAAACGAGGUGGAAGUUCAUCAUAGUAGGAAAUGGGGAUCAGCUACUCAACACAUAAGAAGAGGUAAGCAAAGACACAAAGUACAGUAUGAGACUUCGAAAUCCAAUUUAGAAGGAAACCUCUCUCUAUAACAGAGGCUUAUUCACACACAGAAGGUGUGGUUUUUACAUUAGAAGAUUUACCAGUCAAAACAUUUGCAUCUAUUUAUGAGUAGAUACACUAAUCAAGGAGAAAAAUCUGAGUAAAACAAUCAUGUUCAAACAUCUCUAGUGCAAACGUCCAUAAAUGAAAAAUAACAUCUUUCUCAAGUUUACCACUCAGAGGAAAGCAAAAGGAUGAAAAGGAGCAAACCCACAAACAAACAAACAAAAACAAAAGAUAUCCAUUCAAAAGUAAGUCAAAACAAACGCAAGACAUUUGUAUCUAUCUAUGGACAGGAAAAACUAAUCAAGGAACAGAUCUGAGUUUCAAGCAUCUGUCUAGUGCCAAAGUCCAUAAAUGAAACUGAUUCAUAUGUAAAAAAAUAACAUCUUUACUUAACAAAACUAAAAAAUGCGACAACUUCAUCACUCAAAACAGAAGAAUGCAAAAGGGAAGAAACAGAGGAAAACACUAGGAAGGCAAAAGAAACAGAAAAUAAUUAUCUACACAGAAUCUUUCAACGAAGAUGAAGCCGAAGAAACAAACCCAAAUGAUAGUAGUUGCAGUUUAAGAGUGGUCAAAGAGACCAAGACAUUACUAAGGCAAAGAGAGAGAAUUCAUGUUACCAUGGAAUUGGAGCUGAAAUGGGAGAUGAAAACCUUAAAGAAACGCGGAGGAGUAUCAGUGUCAGCCAUUGCGAGAGGAUUUUGAAACUUUGUGAGAGAGACGACAGAUUCUUCACGUAUGAAGUUGAAAGGAAAAUGGGAACAGCUAGAGAGAAGGUGACCAAUGAUAUAGUAGGAGAACAAUUCCUAUUUCGUAAACAUAAUUGGGGCAAAAGUAAAACGUUUUGAGAUUUGAAGGAUGAAAAGGUAAACUAUAUUACUUAUUUUUUUUUUGUCUUUCAAUAUAGCCCUCUUUUUUUCCCUCUCUCCAUUUCCCGCACUCUUUCUUUUUUUUCUCCUUCUCUGUCUCUCCAUUUAUGAAUGAGUCACAUCACUCACAUGUACAAUACAUACGACCAAGCCGGUUUGAACAAUUUUUUUUUUUUUUUUUUAAAGUAUUAGGUCUUGUCUUGAAUUGGCCAAAAGAAACAUUUUGAAUUUGUUUUAGUUCGUACAGAACGUCAGAACCCAUCAAAACACCACUUCAUCUCUUUCUACGGUUUUUUUUUCCAAAUCAUUUCAUCAAAAUAACACUUUGAAUUUUGUUUUUCAUUUCAGAACAAUUAAUAUAUAUGUUUACUGUAUCCUUUCAUAUCGGCCACAUGGGUCAUCUCCAACUGUAAAUCUGUAAUCACUUUUAUUUAUUUUUAUUUUUUUCUCACACGUAUGUUGCUAAUCCUACCCUUGAAGAUGAACUUGUAUUUAUACACACACAUAUCAUACAAAUAUAUUACAUACAAAAAAAAUGAAUUUCCAAUUUUGGAAGAACCUAAGAGGACAAGCUGGCCUCGAUGCUGGUAGUGGACAUCUCUUGGAACAUGGAAGUUUCUUCAACAUGCCACUUGAGAAUCUCUCUCGCAUACCUCAGUGCAUUGUCCACAGCAUCACUCUCCAAGCUCACUUGAGAAACAAACAGCUUCGGCCUAAAGCUCCUUCCACGCAUCGAAAAGGGUCCCACGAGUGAGUCAUACAGUCUCUUGAAUUGGAACCCGAUGUAAUGAAAAGCACGCUGAGCCAUCGGAGGGUUGUGUCUGCUCGUAUGGUUCUGGCUGAUCAACGGGUUGAAGUCUUCAAACCACUCACAGGUUCUUAGAGGUACCUGCUCGAUUUUUUCUUCUAGAAGAUCGAAUUUGGUUAGAACCAAAAGGAACCUUUUGUUAGCUAGGCUCGGGUGAUUCACCAUGCUCUCAAAAAGCUGUUUGUUUGCAAUCAUCUUGUUCACACGAAUCCCGUCACCGUCUUCAAUGUAUUCUCCAUAAUCAGUUAGUGAGACGCAGAAUAUCACCAAGUCAGCAUCUUCAAACAUUUCCAGCCAUUUCCAGUUGUCUCCAAGGCUUCUUGGAUUUAACCGGAUGAGUUGGUACCUAGAAAGAAACAGAGAGAAAGAGAUUAAGUUCAACGCCUUUUUUCUUCAAAUAGUCUUGAAUGCAACAAGGAAAAGUAAUAGGAACUAACUUCAUGUUUGGAUCGUGCUGAUAAUCGCUCUCAAGAGAGUCUUCUUGAGUUGUUGAGGGGAAUGAGAAGUCCACACAAGAAAGUCCUUCCAUAGAUGAGAGUCCUUCCGCUUGCAAUAUGUCCAUAUCAGAAGGUUCGUAUUCUGAUCUUGAGAUCUCAAGAAUCUGAUUAGAAACAAAUUUAGUUCAGUCUUCUUUUUGUCCCCUUUAACAAAAGUGCUAAGGAACCUCGGAAAAAAAAAAACGUUUAAAGACAAGAAACCAUUUGAUUUAAAAACUUACUCGUUCAAGAAAAUAGACGGCGUUUCUGGGAAGUGUUUCGCGAAGUCUUUUGUAGGUGGCAUGAAUGGCUGGUACUCUCCAGAGAUCUGCAAUGGUUUGUGCAUUUUCGCGGCUUGAUGCUGGAAAUAUCUUCAGGUUUCCUUCUUCCUUUUCUUUCAGAAGCCAAUCUGAAAAAUGUUUUAGCCUCGGGUUAAUUGAGCUAGCUGUUUUAGCACUGGUCUCAUCUCCCGUAUCGCCUAAAUCACAAGAAAUCGAUCAGUGUCUCACAAUAAUCAAAUCGUUAACUGAUGUUUGUUCGGUCUACAAUUUUUUACCUGUUUGUUCCGAGGACUGGUUAUUGUUCAUCUCUACUUCAAAUCUUUCGUGUGCCUCAAGAACCAUCGCCAGAUAAGCAUAGAGAUUUGUUUGGAUUAUGAAUUUGAUUCUUUCACGUUCGUCUUCAGAAAAUGAGACUCCAUAGAGAGACCUUGCCUGAAACAAAAGCAGUCAAUACCAGAUCGUCUACUAGAUCGAGUGGGUGGCAUUAAGAUGAAUAUAAGCUCACUUGUUUGUAAAUCGUAGUGGCGCCACAUUUCUCGUUACCAAUCAGAAGAAGCUUGUUAAGCAUUUUCUGCGUAUAAAUGGGCUCAUCAUUUGGUUCUACCGCAGAUGAAGUCGGAGGCAUUGGAAGAGAGAAUACAGCACAAGCAAGCCUAGCUCUUUUCUGAAAAACAAAAUAGCAUCCAUAAUUGUAUACGGUUUAUAUUCAAUAUACUGUACGUUGAUAACAAGAAAACCUUGUGCCCGAGAAACCAUACCUUAUUCCAAAUGUUCCCGAUGAAACGUUUCUGGCCUUCUUCCUGGUAAGUUCCAUCUGCAUCGACCCAAAAAUGAGGCUUUCCUUCACAUUGCACCCCAGCCACCUACAUCAAAGCAAAGGGAGGCAUUCAGUUUCACAUGAUAAAAUUAGAGGAGAACAAACAACACUAAUGCUUAAGGUCGUCCAGCCAAAGAACCUUGAGCAUCAUGAGCUCUGCCUUGGUUAUUUCCCGGUUAUUAAUGAAAAUCUCAGUGUCACCAUUGCUUGCGUUCUUCUUGAUGUUACUCCCUCCUAUGUUCAUGUGAGGACUUAUAAUCUGGCAAGGUUUCUCUCCUACCUGUAAUAAACACAUAGAAACUCUGAUUAAGCUGAGCAUAAACCCGAGAAUAAAUACACAGAGAAAAAUAUAGGCAAAAAAUCCUACCUUUCCCCAGUAGCCAGCAACCUUAUCAUACCAAUAGUCACCGGGUUUAAGCUUUUUGGGUGGAUUUGGACAAGUCUGCAACAUGUAAAGCUCUUCUUCAUCUAAAGGCUUGUCAUUGACAGCGAUAAGCCGUGAAGGCAAUUGGUUCGCCUUGCAGGAGAUCUCAGCACUCAUGACUUGUUGAAGCUCUGAAUCCGUGAGAAGACGCUUCAGCAUUCUUGAACAUUUUCCGAGACUCCCUCUCUUGGACUCAUCGAUUCUGAUACCAAUGCAACUCUGACACUUUCUUCCUUCAGGCAUCGCACCCAUGGCUCUUCGCACACAGUUGAAACAAUAUUUGGCAUCGCAGACAAUGCAGACUUCCUUCUCAGUGAACCGGUUUCCCAUCAAACAUCUGUAGCAAGACCCUCUUUUACCUUUCCUCUCAGCUCUAGGCGUUGCAGCUAUACUCUCCCCGUCAGAAAUGUAAGAGCUUUCAUCACAUUCACUACCCUCACUUGGUACAACGAACUUCACACGAUUUACAGUUUCGCCAUCCGCCUCCACUCCAUUGGAACAAUCCGAAGCUCUUAAAUCAUCUUCUGUAUCCUCUCUUACUUCUGCAGAUGAUGGUGAUGAUGAUAACGGUAAAUCAACCGCUUCUUCUGCUACAUCCAACCUCUUCGACGAUGAUGAAGACGAUGAUGAUGAGCCAGAAACCACAUGAUGUCCUUUCAAAACAACGCUUGAAGUAGCUGCGGAUUCAGGUGGUUUCUCGGUGACCCUAUUAGUCCUAGCGAGAGGUUGGACCACCGGGUAAGAGAUAUCACCAGGCAAUGAUGAAAACGAAAUGGGAAGAGCUGUAGGAAUCUGAUCAACUUCGACGGGAUUAGCUCGUGGCACGUUAGCGAUAAAAGGGCCUUUAUACUCACUUGCGAAUGAGUAAUCAAUUUGAAAACUAUUGCUAUUUUCAUCACCAUCGUCACUAUCGCGAUUAUCCCUUUUAUGAAUCGGUGAUGCUAAAGGUAAUAACUUUUUGAAAACUGCAGCCAUCUUCUUACCAAAUUCAGCACAAAGACACACAUACACACACAAAAACCCCUAAUUCCUAUAAUUCCCUAAAUCAGAAACUAUCUAUCCCGGCAAUAAAUCAUGAAUAGUGCCUAAGAGAAUAAGAUAGAACACCCUAAGCCAUUAAUGGCUUAAAUAAUCAACCAAUGAAUCGCAAACCGCGUGAAUAAAAAGAAGAAAUAUAUAUGAUUGAUCACAGAAAGCUCCUUUAGCUUAAGGAAAGGAAAACAAAGAGGAAUAGAUUUUCCGGGAAAAGUGGCAACGGGAGAAAGAAAAGGAAGGAAUAAAAUUUCCGGGGAGGGGAAUUGAACAAGUGAACAUAAAGAAGAAAGAAAGAUGGUUGGAUCGUCUUCUCUCUCACUAGUAAAAGACGAAGACUAGACAAAAAGGGAAGACUUUCUCUUUGUUUUUCUUUUCUCUGAACCAAAAGGAAAUUUGGACUUAUUUUCCGGGAAAAUUCGUUCCGUCAACGCGGGUUUGGGGUUAAAAACGAUGCGUUUGGAAAGGCGUUGAGAGGGUCAAAGAGAGGGCAAUUUCGUAAAACCGCAUUCAUUCAGUACCCGGAAUUACGCGGUUAAUAGGAAACCGGAGGUAUUAUUUCUGUUUUAAAACCUUUUAAUUUGUUAUUUCCUCCGUUUCACAAAGUGUCAUUUUUUUUUACAUAUAUUAAAAAAAUUAUUAAAAGUAUAAUUUUGUCCCUUAUUAAUACAUUAAAUGAUUUGUUUUUAUCUAGUAAAUACAUUAAAUUAAUAGAGUUAAAACUGAAAUAUUGUUUAAAAUUUUGCAUUGAAAAUAUAAAACGAUACUCUUUCUGAAACAAAAAUAAAACCUUAAAACGACACUCUUUGUGAAACGGAGGAAGUAUAAUCAUAUGAUAAUUCGGCUGUGGAAAUAUUUUCGGUUUUAGUGAUUGAUUACAAAAAUAGUAAUUUUAGCAUUUAAUAUUUGAAAUUUUCGAAUAUGGAAUUUCUGACAGGAGUUCACAUUUUUAUUAAAGAGUUUUUUUGUCUUUCUCAUAUAUAGAUUGUCCAAAUCUCUAAAUAGUAACUUCAUAUUCACAAAGAAUAAUAAUUUCUAACAACUUUGGUGGACAUUUGGUGGUGCUUGAUUGUUACUUUAAAGUAUGCAGAUUGGUUAAGAGAAUUAUUGAAGAAACAUUUGACGGUUAAAAACUUGUGUUUGUUUCUAAUUGGAAAAAACUUUAACUUGUUGGCUAGACCUUGAAAACCAGUCUUCUACAAUAUUAAAUAACUGAAAAUUAGACAUUAAUCGUCAAUACCACUCACCUCACAUACAAAACUUUGCACGACGAGAUAUUUGUUCUUCAUAACAAAAAAAAACUAAAAUCUUGAACAGAAUAAUGUCUAAGAUCUUUAAAUCCUAUACUAUAUAGCAAAUUCAAACACAUUCAAACUGAUUAGAAUUGCAAUUAUGAAAAGUAGACCUACUGGUUCAAUCGUCACGAAACACACAUCGCUACACAUAUAUCCUUAGGUUACUUCGAAAAGUAAUUACUUCGUGACAUUAUAUAUUUUGCUCUCUACAUGAAAAGAAGCUCAAGAAAAAAAAUAAUAUGAAAUAAGAUAACUACAAUGAACUAAGAUAAGAAGUUCAUCAAACCUCUUACAACAUGUUAGCAAGAUCUAAUUGGCUAGAAAGAAAAAAAGUUAUCGUCUUAUCGAAGAUAUUGAUCCUAAAUAUAAGUUAGAAGACCAAUUCUAACAAAGAGAAAAACGACUCAUCAAAUUCCAAAUUAUGAAGUUGCAAACACGACAUAGAACACAACGAAAACAAACAUGUUUGAUUCAGUCUUUGUUCUUGUUUAUUUUACAAAUUUAGGGGAAUAAUGAUACAAUUUCGUUUUUUAAACAAUUUUCCUGUUAGGAAAAAAAAAAAAGAAGAAGCAAAACUCAUUACGUGAAAACCAUCAACCCCACACGUUGACUCCAUCACCAGCUGACGUGGCGAAAUCCUGUUCGCUGACUUAGUCAUAAAAUUGAAAACAAUCAUUCGACUCUUUCCCCGGCGUGAAGACGGUCGUCGUGACUGAUCAACGACGAGACAUUUUCGUAAAUAAUCACACUAUACUCUGAUCCACUUCUUAUUUUUUUAUUUUUCCAAAUUGCGUGAACUCCACGCGCCACUCCCUUCGUGCGGAGAAGAAAAGCUCUUCCGGCCAGAAGACGCGGAUGGCUCAUCCAUCUCUCUCCACGUGGCCAUUUUCUCCGACACACGCCACACUUUCACCGACUUGUCCAAACUUCCACUGUAUAUAAUCCACUUCCGGUCUCCCUCGGCGACAGAAGAGGCUUUUGCUCCCUUACGACGGCAAGCUCGCUCCUCCUCCACGGCUAAACACUUGACGGGUCCCAUGUGGCCCGUCAAAACAGAUAGACACUGAUGUGACCCAUCAGACGGUUCCCGCCUCCAGACACAUAUGUUCUUGUCGGCUGAACCACUCAACAACAAGUUCCCCGCAAGAGCGAGACAUAGCACGGCGGAUUUGUGCCCUUUGAGUAUUCCACCGACGAAUAUACGCUUUGAACGCUCCCAAUAGUUCACUAGACCGUCCGAUGAACCGGAAUAUACGAUCGAAGACUUUGAUUUUACGGCCAAUGCCGUGACUGCGUUUUCUUGUUUGAGCAAAAUUUGAACCAACAUGUGCUUUGUUCCUUUGCCUUGCAUCUCACGUUUCCACACUUUAACCGUGCCAUCCGCAGAUCCCGUGAACACCAAGUCAUCGAAACCGGACAUAACCGAGUUUAUGGCGUCAUCGUGCGCAUGUAUCGACUCCAAACAUUUUGAAUCCGAGAUUCUCCACACUUUGAUCGUCGUGUCCCAAGAACUCGAGUACAACAACCCUAGCUCCACGUCCAGGCUAAGACUCGAUACGGCGUCGUUAUGCUUAGUCUUCACGGAGUUUCUGUUGCGGCGCACCUCCAUGAAAUGCUUAGGGUUUACGGAGCUCUUGACCAUCGAUUUAAACGUAGGCAAUGUUCCAACCCGUUUGUGCUUUCCCGGUUUUCUCUUUGAAACCUUCCAAAUCCGGAUCUUCCCGUCCUGAUGGCCUGUAAAGAUCCGGUCUCCGAAUAUCACAAUGGCCUUGAUUAGCCCACUACUUGAUUUAAACCCGGCGUGAUCCUUCAAAUUCUUCCAAACCCUAAUGUUCUUGGAGUCGGAGCCGGUGUAAAGAAGGUCACCAGAAGCGGCUAGCGAGUAUAUAUGUCCUUCUUCGCGUACAAUAGAACCAAUGAGACCGUUGGUCUCGAGGGAGUUGUCUUCGUUGGAAUCAGUGGCCCAAGGGGGAGACAAGCGGGCCCAAGGAGACAUUACGCAAGGAGAACCUUCUCCGCUGGUCGGACCGCUGCUCAUGGUUGAGGCUGAGACGCUGCUAAACCGGUGGUGAGUUAAGUUGGUGUUGAUAAUGAUUGGCUCUUCGGGAGGGAAUAUUCCGUCGUGGUCUGCUUUCAAGAGAUCACCAAAUUUAGGCCUUGGUUUGCGAGCAUUAUCGCUAAGGUCGUGGCUGAGAUUGUGGCGACUGUGAUUGUUGUUAUAUGGAUCGGUUUGGAGAUCAACGACCAUGGUACCACCUGUUUCGUUCCUCAUCUCUUUCUUAAAAUCCUUUUUACAAAAGUCAAAUGCUUGAUGUAAACAAAGAAGAAAAGGUUAUAGAAUAAUGAUAAAAUCUCUCCUUACUUUUUUUUUUUUAGCUAUGAAUAAGAAAGUUGAGGGAUAAUGUGAGUUUGUAGAUUUUGGUUGGCAAAGAGGGACAGAGAUUUUUAUGGAGAUUUUGACGGGGAAUUGGAGGGUCUAGAGCAUAUUUUGACUUUUGAGAAUUUUUGUUUUUGUUUUGUCAACUGACUCUUGGGUAUUUGUUUAUGGAUUGCGAGAAUUGAUCUUAUAAAUGCACACUUAUAUAUACACAAAGAAAUAUAUCAAAAGAUUGGUGGUCAUGUGAUAUGUGGUGGGGUGCUUCCCACGUGGUUGUUACUAGAGGAAGCUUCUUUGAUUUUUCCAAAGUAUAUUAAAAUACUAAGCUUAUGAACUAUUAUAUAUCUUCUCUUCGAGAAAAAGAGAGAAUCGAAGUUACUUUACUAUUUUGCUUGUAUUUUGUAAACACUAAUCGUUUGUCAAAAAUUAUACCUCAUAUUAUUCUCUUGCUAAUGUUAAAACAUAGUUCUAUAGCAUAGAAGCAUACUCUGACAAUAUAUUUUAUGGUAUGAUUAAUUAAAUCCAUCAAAAUUUUGUGUUAUUGGGUUUUACAUAUAAGAACAUUCUUUGAGUAAUGCAUCUGAGGUUCUAGAUACAUUGGAAUAUUAGGUACGCAAGCCGAAAGGUAUUUAAAUCUACUCCAUAGCUCAUUUCACACAUAAAGCUUUACUGCCUAAAAUGCUUUUUUUUUUGUUAAAGAUUAUUAAACGAAUGUACCAUAUUGUCAAAGCAUUUGUUGUCCUUGUCCCGCAAGACCACAGUCUUACUAUAUCCAUAAAAUCUUAUUAAUAAUGAAUUAUAUAAUCACACAUAUAUUUUUAUACCAAAAGACUAUACACCACUUGACACGAUUAGGCAAAUUAAUUUAGGCAUGUUUCCACUAUCUCUUAAUUGUUAUCUAUAUAUGCUUAUCUGCAUUAAAUUGGCUUUUUACAUGACAAAUCGCUCUUUUGUUCUUGCUACAAAGUUGCAUCGUAGCAUUAAACAAGUUUGUAAUGUCGUUUGCGAACUUUUGUUUCGAUAAAAAGCAUGAGAUCAAAGAGUUUUCACAAAGCCUAAGGGCCAAUUAGCUACGUCGCCCAUAAUUAAAAAUAAAACUCGAAUUCAAUCACAAAGUGAAGCCCAUGAAUGACCCAGUAGACAUGAUCUGUGUAGUUUUUGCAUUGAACAUAGAGAGUAUCGUGAGAGGAAGCGAUAGCCGGAGAAGAUCCGAGAUUCUAUUAUCCCGAUGAACAACUUCUGAAUGAUUUAUUUCUUUGGCCACUCUAAUACAAUAAGAAAAAGCACAAAGAUUCUCUACUUUUAAAGAGCGAACACAAACUCAUCAUGAAGUUCGAACCAGUUUCUACUUUAUCCACACUUCUCUUGUCUUCGACCGUAAUUUAUUACAAAUUAUGGGUUUCUUCUGAAAAUUACUUGGGGGACCAAAUCGUAAAAAGUUAAAAUCCUUUGAGACGUCAUGUCACGUCACGCAGAAAAUGAAAAAAAGCAAUGAGAGAAAGAGUUGUACUCUCUUUUCAGAGAGUCUUAAUGUUGCUUUGACUCAACUUCAAGCUACUCUAUCUCCUACCAUAACCCUCAGAUUACAAUUUUAGGUCUUCUCUUCUCUCUGAUUCCCCAGUUUCUCUCACUUUCUCCGACACAGUUCCAAGAUCUACUCUCAAUGGCUACCACUGAUUCCCUCCCUCGUUUCUUCAAACUUUUCCUCUCCCAUUUCAGCUCACACUCCAUGGUAAGAUAUUCUUUCUCGAUUUUUCUUCUUCUGUCAUUUUUUGUUGUUGCUGGAAAGAGUCUCUUAGCGUAACAUCUCCAUUGCUGGUGUGAAUGAGAGGUGAAACAAUGCUGAAACUCCUGUGAUUUGCAUUUAUCACUAUGGGUUUAUCUGCAUUUAGGUUCUGAGUGGUAAAAUGCUAACUUUUUGUAUAAAUCAGCCUUAUCUAUGGUUGUAUUAUGUCAGAUUAGUUUAUGUUCGCCUAGGUAGUGAAGUUUGUUUUGUAUGCUUUGAAUUUGGUCGCAUCGGAAAAGUCCACUCUUUUAAACUGUCCGUACGCUUUUUCGAGACCAAGUUUUCUUCUUGUGUGUGGAAUGGUCAACCUGACUCUGGCUUAGAUGACUCUGACUUAACCUUAAAGACACUCUCUUUGUGUUAUUGGCAUUGAGCAGGCGAUCCCAGCGUCCUACUACGACAAGCUACCACGUCGUUUGCCCAAAACAGCGCUUCUCCAAGGAACCGGCGGUUGCUUUUGGGAACGUUGCGAUGAUUAAGAUACGAGAUGAGGUGUAUUUUGGAGAAGGCUGGGCCAAAUUCGUUGAGGAUAACCAGCUUAAAGAUGGGAGACUUUUUGACAUUUGUUUAUGACGGAUCUCGCGUUUUCGAGGUCAAGCAUCUAUGGGAAGUGAGCAUGUAAAGAGAUAAGAGCCGUUGCUCAAGUAAUAGAAGACGACCGGUGACAACGGUGGUGAUGGUUCUUCUUCUCCCGACACGGUGACAAAGAAGACAGUGUUCUUAUUCUGAGCAGCGACGGAGAAGAGGAUUCCGACAACGGUGACAGUACUUAUUCUCCCGACAACGAAGACACAGUCACUGUGGAAAAGUCGAGGAAGAAAGGUAAAACACAAUUACCAGCUUUCAACACUUUAAAGGAUUAUUUCUGUGAUCUUUAUGUUUAGAUAUAGACCUGUUUUGUCUCUUGAAAUUUUACAGCAAAGUCCAGCUUAGCAAAAGCUGUUGGGUCAACCAGUAACAGGUCUUCUUACUCGGUGACAAGGACGAACGGUAAACUCAUUUUGCAUAAUUUCAUUAUCAUUUAAUUAGGUCAGUGAUUUGUGUGAUACUUAUAUUGAAAUACAUUAGCUUUCACCACUUUGAUCAUUUGUACGAUGCUUAUGUUUAUCUAAAAUGGCUUUUGUGUCUUGAGGUUCUCCAGGAAUGUCCAAAACGGAGAGGAAAGGUAACUUGAGUUAUGCCUAAUUUGAAUUUCAUCGUUUAACUCUAGAUCACAAACUUGUGUAUGCUUAAUAGAAAUGUAUUCCCUUUGGGAUUUUCACAGUGAAGCCCAAGAUCAAAAAGCCGGAGGCAUAUUUGGACAAUCCAAAGAAUGUCUGUUUUGAGACGAGCUUGAAACUUAGGAAAUUUGAGCUGAUAAGAAUUUCAAUAAAGUUUCUUUAUCGAUAUUUCUUUUAAAGAGCUGUUCAAUGUACGUUUUGUUUGCUUUUGUACCUUAAAUACAGUUAGUUCCUGGACAACUAGUUCGAGACCAUUCCUUGAAGUUUCAAGACUACAUUGAUACAUGGACAAUCACAACGAGGAGAAAAUAAGAGGGAAAGUGUCACUGUGGAAUGCAAAACGUGUGUGUAUUAAAGGAUGGCAGCACAUUUGCGAGAGGAACCAAGUGAAGAAAGAAGAUGGCAUCUUGUGUGAACUCUUUCGCGAGCGAGGCUUGGUUUACGCAGUUAAAGUUCAUAUCAUCCGCGAGAUAAAUCUUUAAAACGUUAUUAGUAUGAGUAAAGAGGGAUUUUACGUGAUCAUCUCUAUGAUUUUAGUUUGUUGUGAGCUCUUGGAAAGAGCGAGUUUUAUAACAUGACGAACCAGUUAUUUCCAUAAGAGAAAACAAUUGUUCUCUUUUUUCUUUACUUUAUCUUAUUAAGUUAUUGAAAGACUUCCUUUAGACCUCUUUUGAUCUCAUCUAUAUCCAAAAGUUGUAUUAUCCUACAGGCUACAACACUUGAACCAAUUCCGACUGAUUUUGUCGCUUUCAAAAUUAAAUUGAUGCAUCGAUGCAUAAUAGCUGAUUUUUAAAAAAGUAAUUUUAUUAAAUUAGCGACCAGUAAAUCUAUUGACUUGCAAGCUUACACUUCAAAGGCAUUGAAGCAAGCACCUGAGUUUAUAGGCUGAAACCAGAAAUCUACAUAUCAGAAGAAGACUAGAACAAGGAAAAAUAGGCCAUUACUAGAGUUGUAUGAAACCAAAAACUAUAAGAAAGAAAAUAAUUAGUCUAAGUCACGACUCACGAAUCUUGAAGAAGAUAUAGGCAAACCCUUUUUUGCUCUGUCGUAUUAUAUGGACAAAAAAAAGAGGAUUUGAUUUGAGUUUGAGUUCAGUUUUGGUCGAUGAAAUCAGCAGGCAAGUUCAAGUCCAAUAAAGUGACUUUGCUGUUUAUGAAACUUCCUUCUUUCUUCAGACGUUUCUGUGAAGAAGAGCUAAUGGUGUCUUCCGAGUUCCUCGAUCCUGAAGCUUGCUCAGGCCUCGAUGUCUCCCCUGUAAAAAGAACAUGGCUCAUUAGGAUUUGAUUCAUUGGUUCAUCAUUACAAGAAUGUUAUGAUAACACAACAGAGGGUUAAUUACCACUUGUGCAAUUACUAUCCAAAGGUUGGAAUUUGUCAGCACCUUUAGAAUUCCAGGUAGCAUAAAACUCAGCUGCUUGUUCGAUCCCCUUUGAUCUGUAAGGUGCGAUGUUGUGGAUACCACGUUGGAGAGAACCAAGUAAGUCAUUCUCAAUGCACUCGUACAUUUUCUUGCAGAGGCUAUCGACCGCAACAGACAAAUUGAUGAUUUGAAUCCUUAUCUCCAUGACUUUAUCAUCAAUAAACUCAUCAAAGGGCUCCUCCAAGAACUGGGAAAGUUUCUCAACAUUACCCUCUAGUUGCUGCUGCUGAUCCUCAAACAGAUUCUUCUUUAUCUCUCUCUCCUCAGGGCUCAUCUCAUCUUUGAACAGCUCCUCACCAAACAUGUAAUAUGCGAAAGCAUACGAAUAUGAAAGAAUCCGUCUUGAUCUGAAUAACCUGUUGAGUCCGUUGGUGACCCAGCUGAAGUCUUUAAGCUUCAGUUCCUUCUUUUCUGAAUUUGACACUUUUUCGAGGAUAGUAUCCCUAAGUUUAUCCUCUAGCUUUGAUGAGUCCGUAUGUGCUUUGUAUCGGUGAUGAUAAUGUGUAUACCUAUUUAAAUCCUUUUUCGCUCUUUCCAUCUGCAUUUCCUUGCCAUCUUCGUACCGGCCACAACUGUGACCAGCGAUACUUCUAUAAGUGUGUUCCUUUCCAGUAGCUCCACCACACAGCCAACUGUACAAAUUACCAACCAAACAUGAGACACUUCACCAGUUUGACAUUUUUGCUCGUCUCAAAGCAUAGAAACUCAAAUGCAAAGAGGAACGGAGAGCAAAGGAGAAAACAAAGGAUAGAGUUCUUACCAAAAACACUGCCCACAAAUACACCUUACGAGAUUGCAACCACCAUUCUUUUCCACGGGUUUGAAACAUUUGGGACACAGCUUUGUGUGAACGGUUAUCCAAUUAACUGUCUCCGACUCAUCUCGACACUUCUUUCUCCAAAGCUCCCACAUCAAACAAGAGCAAGGGGAAUGGGCUUGACACAGACAACUGAAGCAGAACUGAAGACCACAGGAACAUUCAACUUCGCACAACUUGUCAUCCUCAGCUCGUAUUGCAUUCCCACAAUGGGGAACGCUGGGACACCACUUGACCAUUUUGUUGUCUUCGAUGUAUGACUCGAGAAGGAAACGAUCAAACUUCUCAGCUAGAUCUGGACGCUUUUUACUGACUAGAUUCCUGACAACAUCUUCAUCACAAAUAGAAAAGCAUCUAUGAGCCAUGCAUCUAAUCCUUUUGCUCUGACCUUCAGUUAUCUGCACAGUAAAAUGCUCCGUCCAACCUAAACCAAGCAAGAAGUGCGUUAUAUCAUACAUCUACCUCUAAAAUAAAAAUACCUCAAAUUUUGGCAAAAUGGACUCACAAUUAUUGCAAAAGCAAUGGCCACAGUCCAUUCUCGUAAUCUGAUCACCUGGUACAUCCUCUAUGCAGACAUCACAACUCAUCACUGAAGAUUGAGAAAAGGAAGUGUUGUCAUAUUGAUAGUCGAACACAGUCACACCAGCUCCAGAAAACAAGCUAUCUUUUCCUUUCUCAACAAAGACAGCAAACAACUUCUCUACAUCCCACUGGUGAUGAAUGAGAAGAGUCCGCGCAUGGUGCUCCUUAAUCGAUAACAAUUCCAUUACCCUUAGCAAAUCUUCUCUCUGCAUAAAGAAUCAACAACUCAACCAAUUAGAGCUUCAAAUUGAA